AAGUGAGAGGUAAAAAAAAAAAUUUAAUAAUAAAUGUAAGUAAUUUGUUCAAAAAAAAUUAAAUGUGUGUUAUUGUUAUUUUGUCUUUAAAUGUAAAUUUAUCCGAAAUGGAGUUUUAUAAGAAAAAUAUACGGUGCGAAAUUCUCAAACCCGGACAUUUCCAGUCCCGGUUCCGGUCUCAGCCCCAAAAACCCAGAAUCCGGACCCGGUAUAUUAAAAAAAAAAAUUUAAAUACAAAAAUCAAAACCCAAUUGCCCAAAUCGCCCAAAUCCAAAUCCCUAAUACAGUAAGCAUAAGUAGCAGAUUGCAUUCCCUUCUGAAAAGCAUAAGCAGCCGCGCUGCCACGGUGCCACCGCCACCGGCUGCCUUGAAAUCCCUAAUCGCCAAAUCCCUUGAAAAGCAUAAGCAACAACGCUGCGGCUGCCGCGCCUCCAACACUCGAAGCCAGCAGCAGCCACCACCCUCCGCCGGCAUCAUCUCGUCUCGGUUGCUGACUCGCUAGCCUUGGCACGCAGCUUUGCUCGGUUCGAUUGCUCCAUCUCUACUGCCACUGUCAGUCUGUCACAACCUAUAGAGUUGUUCGUGCAUCCCCCUCUGCCGCCGUCACCAUCGAGUGCAAGAAAAUACUAAAUUUCUUAGUUUUGAUUGAGAAAGAAGAGAGUAAUAUGUGUUGAAUUUUGGAAAAGUGUAAUGUUAGGGACCUUAUCAUUUGAGUCCCAAAUAAUGUGACCCUCAUUAAUUAUUGUUUAAAAAAAAAAGUGAGUUUUGAUUUACCAAAACAUGAGUAGUUGAGGAAAAUAAAAAAGGGAUAGUUUCUAAUCUUUUUCAAAUCAAUUCAAAUUUGAAGAUUUGAAAAUAACCAAAUAACUUAAAUAAGGCAAAAAUAAUGUUUAUAAAAAAAUAAAAAACUAACUAAUUCAAAUCAUUAUAACGAUUUACAGAAUAUGCGGGUGUAACAUUACUUGAGAUUUUACACGAUCAAUGGUAAAUAGGAUGAACUAACUUGGCAAAUGGAAGAUAUGGGUGUUGUCAAACAUGAAGAUGAAUUUGACAAAAAAGAAUCAUAAUAGCAAUUAGUAAAUGAUAAAUGGGGAGCUCACAAUCGGUUGUGGUUUCUCCUGAAUUUAAUUGUUUGAAUUGAGGCGAGAAUUCUUUCAUAUUGUAAGACUCGUAUGCUCUUCUUUCAAUUGCUAUAAUUUUUUUGUGGAUCCAGCUAUCUUGCGUCAUAAGUUUGGUACCCCAGUCCUUUAUCUCAUAGCGAAUGAGUCGUUAGAUUGUGAAGAAAUGUAUCUAACAACUAAGAUUUAACAUUUGAAAAACGGAUAACCGGCUGAAAGCGUAGCACUUGUAAAUUAAAAAAUAAAAAAUAAAAAAACAAAAAAGUUUGUACGUGUAACAUCAUCUGCGAUCUUUCCGACGGAUGAAGUUUAUAGGUGAUGGUUCUCGACAUUAUUGUCUUGAUACUGUUUUCUGAAAGGUAUGAUGAAGUAUUGAAUCUUCUUAAUUUAGGUUUUGUUUGAGAAAAACAAGGUUUUCACUUACAAGGUUAGCGUGACAAGAACUUUUCACUCAUAAUCACCCAUAACACCAUACCAUUGCCUAUAUUCAAGCGACAAUACUAGUUGCAACCUUCUUAGAUAUUCAUUCAAGUAAAAUAAUAGCAAAAUUAAGGCUAAACAACAAAUUGUAUUCUUUGAGGCAUUUUAGCAAACAUUUGUAUUGCCGUAUUUAACAAACUUAUUUCCAUAAGUAUUUUAUCAAUUUUCAUUCCCAAUUCAAGCCUAAUGUUAAAAAACUAAUCGCUCAACAAGAUCUAACCUAUAAUCAUCAACAAUUAGUACUAAAACAAUAAAUUCAUUAUCCAUUUAAGAAUUCGGACAUAAACUCAGCGAACUAACUCAAAUUAAAGAGGCUGCUGUUGCCGGAAGUAGCCAUUGUUGUUGUCGCAUCGAUUAGCCGCUGUUGUUGCUAUUAAUUUAUUUGCUUGAUAAAAAAUUACAGGUUUCUUAGAUUUUUGUCGGAAGUAGCCAAUUUACAAAUCCAAUUAUACAUGGACAAAUCAACAUUUUCAUAGCACAAUGCAUUUUUUUUUUUUUAAGUUCGAAGCUUUCCGAUUAUGGAUGGUGAUAAGGUAGAGAAGAGAGAAGAAAAACUACGACUAAAGAUAUAAAUUAAUGUUUGAAAGAGAAAACUAAUUAAACCCAUUUUUUAAAUUAAUUAAUGCUUGCAAUUUAUUUAUGGGUGGUGAUAUUUUCCUUCAAUUUUUAUAAAUGCAUUUUAAAAAAUAUAUAUUUAUGAAAAAAUCAAAUUAUUUUUCAAAGGUAACUAACAAAAUAGAUUUGAGAUGAGUGUAAUUAGGAUAGCGUCACGUAUAAGAGAGCGAGAAAAAUGCUCAUAGCCGUUCUUUGGCGAAUGCAGUAAUCUCUUUUAAUUUUUGUAGUUUUUGAGUUUAAAAUAAAAGAAACAAUUUUAAAUAAAAUGGUAAAUAUAAUAGAUCCUCUAUAAAUUAGUACUUAAUAAACUAAUAAUCACAACUAGAUAUAACUUUUAUUCGUUUCGAUUUAGUCUGGUGCAUAAUUUCUUUUUUUUUUUUAAAUCACUAAAAGAGUGUGUUUUCGUGUGUAUAUCUCUAUUGGUGGCAUAUGUAUCAAGUCUUCUCUCUCUCAAUGGUCAAUAAGAGCUUCAGUUUCAUAUAUGCAGUUUCAUGCAUGAACAGAUUAAUUGACUUCAUUUCUCUCUCUUUCUCUCUAUCUAGCUUGUUCAUUUUGGGACUGUAACAAGUUGUUUUUGUUCUCGGAAAACAAAGAAAUUGAUCAUUGAUCAUGGAUUCUCAGUGGCUCAAUCAAGAAGCAGCAACCAAAAUGAAUGGCUACGAUCAGAACAAUGAUGAUGGAAAGACGAUUGAUCUGACAUUGAAGUUAGGGUUACCUAAUAGUGAUAAUGACAGUCAGCAUCUUAAUUCUCAUGAGGUAAUUCUUUGUGUUAGACAUUCCUUACUUAUGUGCCUAAAUAAUGUGAUCUAUUAUUAAAUUGAAUUUGAAAAUGAAAAUCUGAACAUAAUCUUCAGGAAUGAUAUACAAUUUAAUAUUAGUCUUCAUUUUUUUAAAAUUAUGAUUUCUUGAUUAAAUCAAUCAAAAAACUAAUAGAGAAAUAAUAUUUUUCUUUUGCAAUUUUGUUAAGAAAUGAAGAUUAAUUAAUGUUUGAUCAAUCAAUAUGCAGAAAAGAAGCUCCACUUCAUAUACUUGAUAAUUUAUAUCUCUUAGGUUGCACCAUCUAAUUAUGAUCUCUUUAUUUAUUUGAUUUUUACGAAGUAGUAAUUAUCAAAUCUGUUUAGAUCCAUUAUUUUGGUAAUCUUCUUGUAAAAUCUUGGAUAUACAUGGACUGAUGGUAUGUAUAGAAUUGUCAUCUUUCUUGAAUUUUUCUCCUUUUUUAUUAUCAUUUUUUGGCUGCAUAAUUGGUGUUAACAGAUUAGAUUGACUGCUCCAUAUAUAUAUAUGCCUUGUUUUAAAUCAUGAUUUUAAAUUACAACAACUGGAAUCCAAUAAUAGUUAUUGGGAAUAAUUUGUAAUUACGGAGACUUGAACCUAUUAGCUAAUAAUGGUUCUAUUAAUAACAUAAACACGGAGAAACAAAAAUUUUGGUACAAUGCGAGCUAGUUAUAACAGAGAAAUUAUAAACGAGAGCAGGUUAAUAUUGUUUGUAAUUUAUAGCUUAAAAAUUAUAAAUGUAGGAAAUGUUCCAAUUCUAAAUUUUAAAAUGUAAGAAAGUCCGACAAAAUACAUAACCAUGCAACUUAAACGCUUUAAAUUUUAAGCCCCUAUGAUUUUAAAGUUUUCGGGCACUUUAAAAUUCCAUAUCAAAAAACCAAUAUAUAUAUAUAUACACAGUGCUUAUUAGAUCUAAGAUUAAAAUUUACAAUUAAGAUCUACGACGAAUUUAUGGUGUCGUAAAUCUGUCCUGAACUUUAAUCCCAACUUUAAUUUCAGAUUGAAAAUUUUUCUCAUAUAUAUUAUUAUUUAAUGAGUCAAUAGUUUCUCUAACAUUUUGAUUGUUUAUAUACAGGGAAUAACCAACUAUGAAAUGGUGAAUGAAGGAAUGAACAAUAACACUAACAUUGGACAAAAGUUUAAUCCCAACUAAAUUGUGUGGCCACAAUCAAACUUGAGGAACCAACAUAGACAAGCACAAUAUAUGCACCCAAAUAAUGGCUAUGGCUUUAGCACAUUUCCUGCAGGCUCUUUCUGUAAUGGGAUCACAACUUCCUAACUCUCCUCUUCACUACAACAACUUAAGCAUUAACCCUAGUAAUAAUAUUCAGCCUACUGCGGCAGCAUCAGCGCAAGCAUCGAUGAAAAGUUACACACUCAUCAACGUUCCAGCGUCGAGAAACCAGCAGAUGGGCAGUCCUAACUCAUCAACGGCAGCUUCACCUCGAAGGACAGCAGGCAUUCCAAGGCCGCAUAGGUAUCCUUAUAAAAGAUGCAGUAAUUAUAAUUGCAAUACUAAUGAUACUCCUAUGUGCCGUAGAGGUCAUCUUGGCCCGAAGAUAUGUAAAUUGUUGCAUAUUAUUGUCAUUAUUACUAUUUGUAGACUUGAAAACAGUAAUUCUUUGAUGCAUCCACAUGCAUAAAAGAAGGUACAAAUUUUGUUUUUGGGGAAAAAUUUUGGAUGCUUUCGCUAGUGUCUAUACACACAUACUUUUAUCCGUUAGAUUCUUGCCAUGUGUAUUUCUGAACCAACACUUGCGGAAAGAAUCUAAGAGAUUUUAUAUAUAUAUAUAUAUAGAGAGAGAGAGAGAGAGAGAGAGAGAGAGAGAGAAAUUUCGAAUCCAGAUUUUUAAAGUGUGAAAAAGUCUGAAAAACGCAUAGACAAUGUGGUUUAAGUCUUUUAAGUUUUAAGCAUCUUAAACUCCAUAGUUUUUAAAAUUUUAUCGAACUUUUCUCACACUUUAAGAUUCCAAACUAGAGAACUACUAUAUAUAUACAUAGAGAGAGAGAGAGAGAGGGAGCAUCUAAGAUUUUCUCAUGUUUUCCAACUAUAUGGCAAAUAAAAUGUGACACUAUUAUGGAGUCCAAUUAGAAUAUAGUAAUUAUUUUCCUUAUCACCAAUAUUUACACUCAUUAAUAAAGUGACGUCAUUUGCCACAUCAUUUGUAAUAGUAUAUGUACAAGAAUUGUUCAUUAUGUGUGAGUAUACACACACAUAUAUGUUUUCUAAAGAAAGAUUAAUUAUGAACAGUCGUAUUAAAUUUAAACUUGUAACAUGAACAAAUAGUCCUUAAACUCAUAUAAUACCACUUGCCCACAUAUGUAAAUUAAAGCUUGAAAUAGUACUUUUAAUCCUAUAAAUUUUUCUAGUUUUACACUCUCUGCAACGCCUAUGGGAUUAAGUACAGAAAGAAGGAGGAGAAAAGGAAAGCAAAAGAAACAGACAUCAAAUAGUGAUCAGGACUCCAACAACCAAACUGCUUAGAGGAAUUAUUGAUGUUAGUCAAUUUUGUACCAAAGUUAUGCCCCAUCUGUGAGAUGGGAUCAAAAUUAGCUUUUAUGCUUUGUAUUAGAACUAUUUACUUUUCAGCUAUUUUGUCGGUUUUAUAAGCUUAUGACAAUUUAUUUUUUCAAGUUAUAAAUUGAUUUCUUGUGCUUGCGACAAUGCUUGUAUCCUACCUGUUGGGGGUGGGCACUAUUUAAUUUGGUUCGGUUCAGUUCGGUUUGGUUUGAUUGUAUCAUAUAUAUUCAUUAUUCAAUAAAAAAUAUAAUAUAAUAAUACACUAUUAAUACAAAAAUAAUCUUGAAUCUAUAAAUUAACAAACAAUAAACAACAUAAUAAAAUCUAACAAUAGUAAAUUAACAUAAUAAAUUCCAAAAAAAUAAUCUAGAAAUCCAUAAAUAAUAAACAAUAUAAUAAAAUCUAACAAUAAUAAAUUAAAAUAAUAAAGUUCAACAAUAAAAUAAAGUGUAUGCUAUGACAUAUAUAAUAGCAUGUAUUAACUAACAAAUGCUAUGACAUAUAUAAUAGCAUGUAUUAACUAACAAAUAGAAAUAAAAAAAAAAGAUAAAUUAUGACCUUUUUAAUUUUAAUUUUAAUUUUUUCUUGAACCAUGUGGUUCGGUUCAAAUAAAAAACUAAACCAAACCAAAUUGCCAUAAUACGGUUCGGUUCAGACUGAACUGAACCAAAUGCCCUCUGAACCGAACCAAAUGCCCACCCCUACUACCUGUUAUAAACCACAUUUGUUGGCUCAUUGUUUGAAUUGGGUAAGGCUAAUAUUAUUAAUAAUUUCAACAAGGACACAAACAAAAAGUCAAAAGCCCUCUCCCUUGCCAAAAGCUAAAUCCAAACAAUUAAGGCACUUAUUAGGCUCACCAAAAUCGUCCAAUUUACAGUCCCUGUCAAGUUUAGAAUAAAACUAUUGAAGUGUGUUCAAAUAACUCAAUGCAAAGGGAUGCCCUCAUUGAUAUAUAUUCAUAAAAUAUCCAACGACAUUAGUCAACUUUCAUUCACUUUUUUCAAAAUGUUCUUUUCCCAUCCAGAAUUGUUAUUCACACAAUCUUCGCAACCCCUAAUCACACAAGUAAGAAUUCACCAACCGAUUUUAUGGGUAACAUGUGUAGACAUUCAAUCAUGGGACAAUCACAGGUGAUCUUCUAUAUAUUCACUCGAAACCUUUAAAACUCAUAUGGUAAUCAUUCAUCACUACACACACCUGUAAGAACUUCUCCACCAUACGAAAACUAUUAGCACCUUCGUCAAGCUCAAAUUUUUGUUGGUUGCUAACCAACGGAAAGCAUGGGAAUCUCUGGGCUCCAAAGAGCAUGAUUUUCGGUCUUGUACUCUACCAAUUGAUAGGUUCACUAUCACGCCAACCCAAUUUUAAUGAAGAAAAGAAAACUACAAACAACUACAUAAAAAAAGGUCUCCCAAAAACGUGAACGGGCUCAUUAUACUGGUAUAAUCUUAAAUAACAACAAAGCUUUUUUCAAAAUUUUUAAUAUUUACUCAACUUGUAAAGGCAAAGUUGAUCAGGAUUCACCUCGAAUCAAAACGAUUUCUCCUUUCUUUUCGGAGGUACAAGAUUUCUUCUAUUAUGAGAUUUCUAGUUUGAUCAAGAGUUAUACACUUCUCCCCAAAUGAUAGGUCCAAAAUAUUAGUCACUUUCUAAAAUCUCCUACCAUUGUUAGAUACUUUUAUGUAGGGUUGGCAAAUCGCGGGCUUAGACCAAGCUUUUUCAAGCCCAAGUCCAAGCUCGUGUAAUUGGCAAGAAGCCCAAGCCCUCUAAAGCCUGUCCAAACUUGAGAUGGUUGGGCCGGGGCCAGGCUUGCGCGGGCCUAGGCUGAGCCUGGACAGGGCUUGGACUUUUAAUAAUUUAAUAAAAUUUUAUUUUUAUUUCUUUUUGAUUGAUUGUUCCUACAGCGUAUCAAUUAUCCACCAAAUCUCAUAGAAAAAUAAUAAUGUAUAUAUAAGUGAAAAUUUUGCUUAAUUUUGAUGACAAAUUAGAGAAAGUGUCGAUCAAAUAAAAAUAUGCAAAUUACAAGAGAUAAAAUACGAUAAACUAGGUAAAUGUUAAAUACCCUUUAAUAAUUUUUAAAAGAAUUUGUGGUUGAAACUGAAAUACAAUGCUUCUUCUUCGUUAUCCACUUGCUAUGACAACAAUGAAACAUCCUUCUUCUUCUUCUUUACUCUCUCUCUCUCGAUUCUUCCACAAAUCUACUCUCCAUUACAACAUCAACAAUGGCUUCAGUAAUCUCAAAAUUUCUAAAAUAAUUAAAAAAAUCAAAGGUUACUUGGGAUGGAGUUGGUGAUGGUUUGCAGUUGGUUCGCGUGCGUUGCUGGUGCUGCUGGUUUUGGGUCGCGUUGGAGCUGAGAUUGCUGCUGCCGCAUCGCGUGCGUUCGAUUGGCUGUAGCUACAUCGCGCUGGUGGUGCUGGUGGGUGUGGGUCGCUGUUGCGUCGCCUGUUUGGUGCUGGACUGCUGCUGGGUUGCUGGAUCUGCUGCGUCGCGCGUGGAUGGUGUAAAUGGGUUGAAGAUGAAAUAGUAAUUUGGUGUGAAAAAAGUAUAUUUUUGGUGUUGGUGUUACACCAAAAUGGUGUUAUGCAUUAGAGAUGACCUAAAAGAAUUUCACAUAAUUAUGACAAGUUCUCCUAAUUUUUUUUGAGAUUUUCUUUAAUUUUUGAAAAAAGACCGAAAACUCCGUGCAAAUUAUUUUGGGGCAUGAUAUCGACUCCCUUUUUUUUUUUUUUUUUUUUUUUUCUAUGCCCUAGUUUCAACAAUAUUUAUAUGCAUUAAAAAAAUCCGCUCCGAGUUCAAAAAUCACCCUUUAGAGGCGCAAGACCAUUUGCUAUUGCCUUGGUUUUUGGCCCAAACUGGGGAUGAGAAGAAAAGUUAUUUUUCUUCGUAAACCAAUUAGUUUUCUUCCAACAAAACCAUCUUUAGACCAUAAAGGUGCUUCCUAAUGAGUUUCACAGCAUCUCAAGCAACUAUUCUCAUAGAAUAUACAAGGAUUCUCUACGAAAAAAAAAAAAGGACUCUUGAAUAAGUCAUAAUUGCAUAACUUAUCUCUGUCCUAUGAGAAAGACCUCCUUAAAAAGAUGAGGUCAUACCACAUAAGAAGAAAUAAUAGAAGGAAAGUUUAGCCAAUUUUUUGGGAUUUCUUCAAUUUUUCAUAUAAAAAAUCUAAAAUUGGGUAGAAAUUAUUUCGCGGCUCUCACAUUCUUUCAUAUACUCUAAUUUCAAAAAUAUUUACAUUCAGGCAAAAAAUCAACUUGGGAUUUUGAUUUCACCUUUGGAGACCCAAAAUAGUGUGUAUAACUUUCGAUUUUAGGUACAAAAUGAUUUCGAAAAAAAAUAAGGUUUUCUUUAAAAAUCAGUUUGGUUUUCUUCCACCAAAACCCUCUUUCUCUAAUACUUUCAUAUCAUUCCGAAAAGUUUCUCAUAUUUUCUCAGGUUUUUUUUUUUUUUUUUAAAAAAAAAGACCUAAAAUUCCUUAGAAAUUAUUUUGGGGUUUGAAGUUGACUCUCUUUUUUGUAUAAUCUAGUUUCAUAACUACUUACAUUAGCGUAAAAAUUUGGUUCAAAAUUUUGAAAUCACCCUUUAGAGGCCCAAAUAUAUAUAUGUGUGUGUGUGUGUGUGUGUCUAUAUAUCUAUAUAUAUAUAUGAAUGUAUGUAUGUUUACCACAUACUUUUAACUUUUAUGUAAAAUAAAUUUGCCUAUAUUUGAUACAAAAUUUUUAUUUAGUUCAUAACUGCUUUUCCAAUUACCAUGAUGUUUAUUUUAAUUUAACAUCUAAAAAUUGGUGGUAAUAACUAAUUCUUUUAUUUUUUAUUAUUCUGAAAACCUUUUUUUUCAAGCUCAUACUCAUUUGAGCUUUAGUCCGUGUGGUUUAAAACAGAAAUGGCAAUGAAAGGAUUAUGAGAUGGUUGAGAUAAAAAUUAUAUUUUGAAUGUUAUUUAAAGCACUCUUUUGAUAAUUAACUACAAUCAAAUAAUAACGGUAAUAAAAUUACUCUUUUGAACUAUUUCAAAAAUUAUUCCAAAUCAUUUUCAAGCUCACUCGAGCUUGACUGCGUGACUGUUUCUAAAAGUAAUUAUAACAACACAGUUACCCUAUAUUUGCUCCUUUUUAAAGUAUAUAGUUAAUUCAAAAAUAUUAUGAUAAGGUUGUGGUAAAAUGUUAAAAGAUAUUCAAAAUCAUUUUUUAACCUCACUUGAGCUUGAGCGAAAAAUAAUUGAAUUGCGCGCACGGUGAUAAAGUGAAGAGCUAAGGCCAUAUCAGAUUAUUGUUAUGAAAUAAUCAUAACAAUACAGUUGCCAUACUUGCGUUGCUUUUGUAGUAAGUAAUUAAUAAGAAGUAUCAUGAUAAGGUUGCGCGGUUGCGGUUAAUUUUUUAGACGGUAAUAUUUAAUAAAUGAGCUUUUUAAAAUUUUAAAAAAGAAAAAAACUUUAAAAUUAAAUAAUUAAAAAUACACUACAUUAUGCGAAAUCAUUUUUCUAGCUUGUGUGAGCUCGAGCAUUAUGAGAGGGCUGCAUCAAAAUUUUAAUAAACAAAAAAAAAAAAAAUUUUGAGCUGUUUUAUAAUUUAAAAAAUCAAAUUAUCACAAAAUAAAAUUAUUCAGGAAGUUUAUUCGGAGCCAUGAUAGACUAUAUAUGUAUUUCUUACACCAAUACUUGCGAUCAUCAUUAAAUCGUGGAGUAAAUAUAUUUUCGAUCCAUUAAUCUUAAAAAUCUUAUAUAGAUUUUAUAUAUUUCUUAAGAACUAAUGCGCCUGAAAUAUUAAGCUUCAAUGUUCUUAUAUUAUUGGACGAUCACUCACUAAGGCCCUAUUUAUUAUCGAGGUUGGGCAGCACUAAAAUAUUUAAUAAAUAUUAAUUGCUAUAACUUGAAAGUUAAGUUGUUUUGAUUUAUCACUUGUAAGAUGAAAAACCUGUAAGGUUUUUAUUAAUUUUUGUCAAAAUUAUUAUUAAAAGCCAUAUUUAGUUACUAUUAAUGUUUAUUUCAUAAAUACUGCUCUUUUUCUAUAGUAGCUAUAAUUUAAAAUUUACAAGACAUUAAUAUCAAACGCUCUUAUACAAUAUGUGAACAUACGAAAAAUUAUCCUUGGAUUUGAUACUUUCUUUCUCGUUAAUUUGUUUUCUAUCCAUUUGAAUCGAUUGGGAGAUGAUGCUCUGUGUUCAGUGUUGUUGAUCAUUUUUUUUUUUCGCAGUUCAUUGAAUGUCCAAGUUUGGUCAAGGGUUUAUGAUUUUUUUUUUUUUUUGUGGAUGAACUUCGUAACACAAUUAAACCUUUGUAAAAGAAUUGGGUCCUAUCGGAUUCAAGACCAGUAGGUUAAGGGUUUAAAUAAAUAAAGUUUUUUGAAAAAUUUCAGCUUGUCCUAUUCGAACCAGCAUGUAUAUAUCCUUCCAAGUUUUUUUUUUUAAUUUAUGUAAAAUUUUCCUUUUAGAUCUUUGAUGAACAAAAGCUUAAUAAUGUUUACGUUGUUCAUGUUUAUAUGAUUAGAUUGCUGGUCAUUCAUGUCCAAAUUAAUCAGAUCUAUAGUUAGAUCAUACAUCUCAAUGGAAAUUGAACUUAGAUAAUUGAUAUAUGAAUUAAGAAUAUUAUUAUAAUAUCUGUCUAAAUUUUCUCAUCUAAUGAUGAUUUUUGUAAUCUUAUCACAUAACAAGUGCGUCCAUUUGUAAUAUAUAUUUCAGUCUUAUAGGUCGUUUUGUUUUAUCUAUUGAGUGCUUGACCAGUUUCCUACAUUUCAUGCAUGACCAAAUCAUUAAUUAACUUCAUUUCUCUCUCAUUCUCUUCCGUUUGCUAGCUAUUAACCUAUCGAUCUUCUUCUCUCAAUAUUUAAACUGAUUUUCCAAGUUGUUUUUGGUUGACGGUAGACAUAGAAAUUGAUCAUUUCGCCUACCAUGGAUUCUCGGUGGUUCAAUCAAGCAGCAGCAACAAACAUGAACGGCUAUGAUCUCCAAGAUGCUGAUAACAAAAUUGAUCUGAACCUGAAGUUAGGGUUACCUGAUAGUAGUGAUCGUGACAAUCGACGUCUUCGUCAUUUUGAUGAAAUUAACUGACCCCCGUUCACGACAACUUGAACAUCGAUGCUCUUAAUUCUCGUGAGGCACUUCUUUGUCCUACUAUUUCAAAUUAAACUUGUUUAGAAUAAUGAGAUUUCUUAGAAAAAUUAAAAAGAAAAACAAAAUAAUAGGUAAUUAAUUUCUUGAUUAGAUUAAUCUCGAUAUAGUGCUGUCAUAAUUUUUAAUUACAUGCAUAAAUUUAGUUUGCAUAGGCAUUAGUGGAAAAUUGAACAUAAGCCGAAUAUUUCAUGUUGAUUCCUCGUAGUUAAUCGAUAAACCAAUGAACAAUCUUAUUGUUGCCAUUUAGCUGAGAAAUGAAGUUUUAUUAAUUGUUAUUCUUUGAUCCUGUCAUGCAUAGUUAUCUAAAUAUUCAUCUUGUUCAGCAACCUAAUGAGGUGCUGUAGCUUUCAGUCUUAUAGGUCGUUUUGUUUUAUCUAUUGAGUGCUUGACCAGUUUCCUACAUUUCAUGCAUGACCAAAUCAUUAAUUAACUUCAUUUCUCUCUCAUUCUCUUCCGUUUGCUAGCUAUUAACCUAUCGAUCUUCUUCUCUCAAUAUUUAAACUGAUUUUCCAAGUUGUUUUUGGUUGACGGUAGACAUAGAAAUUGAUCAUUUCGCCUACCAUGGAUUCUCGGUGGUUCAAUCAAGCAGCAGCAACAAACAUGAACGGCUAUGAUCUCCAAGAUGCUGAUAACAAAAUUGAUCUGAACCUGAAGUUAGGGUUACCUGAUAGUAGUGAUCGUGACAAUCGACGUCUUCGUCAUUUUGAUGAAAUUAACUGACCCCCGUUCACGACAACUUGAACAUCGAUGCUCUUAAUUCUCGUGAGGCACUUCUUUGUCCUACUAUUUCAAAUUAAACUUGUUUAGAAUAAUGAGAUUUCUUAGAAAAAUUAAAAAGAAAAACAAAAUAAUAGGUAAUUAAUUUCUUGAUUAGAUUAAUCUCGAUAUAGUGCUGUCAUAAUUUUUAAUUACAUGCAUAAAUUUAGUUUGCAUAGGCAUUAGUGGAAAAUUGAACAUAAGCCGAAUAUUUCAUGUUGAUUCCUCGUAGUUAAUCGAUAAACCAAUGAACAAUCUUAUUGUUGCCAUUUAGCUGAGAAAUGAAGUUUUAUUAAUUGUUAUUCUUUGAUCCUGUCAUGCAUAGUUAUCUAAAUAUUCAUCUUGUUCAGCAACCUAAUGAGGUGCUGUAGCGGAUGAAACUCAAAUGAAGAACAGAGGAAUUAAAGAAAAUGAAUAGCAAGACAAACAAUUAUAAAUGACUGAGUUUGAACUUUGAAUUUUACCGAAAUUAUGUCAUUAAAUUAAUUUAGCAAAUCAAUAAUAUCCCCUCUAAUUUUUUCAUCUAAGCAAAUUUUAUGAUAUUAAAUAUUUCAUUAAACAAAGACUGGCUCAUUUUACAGUCUAUUGCAAACUUCCAAAUGAUGAUGACUUACUUUGCCUAAACUAAUUUAAAGGAGAGGGAACCUGCUGUGAGCAAUCAUCUGUUUAUCAGAUAACAAUUUGAUUAAAUCAUCUACAUGCAAAAACUCGCUCGCAAUAAUUCGAUGACCAAUCUGGUACUUCGAUAACCAAUACAAUUAGCCAGGUUACUUGUGCUAAAACUGAAAGUUUUCAUCUUUCACCCUCAAUUUUCUCGGAACAAAACAAAUCACAACCAAAAGAGACGCACAUGAUCUAAAACUUACAAAAACCAAAAAGAAAAGCUAAAAAAAGUCUUACAUGCAAAACCUCAAGCUGGUUUUCUAAAUUAUCAAAAGCGGUCCGAAUAGCAUUCAAAACUCUUACCCUCUCCAAUCGCCGACGCCGAAUUGCAUCUUGUAUCUAGAAAGAAGAUUCUUGCCAUCGUGCUCAGUUACUCAAUAAGGUCAUAUUGUGAUUACGCAAAAGAAGAAUCUAAAAGUGGCAGAGGCAAGUACAAUUCAAACUCAGCCUCUUGAAUCGCCCACCCAAAUCGCACUCCAGCUAGUCUCUAUUACUUUUUGUUUUCUUUUUAUAAUUUUUUCUUUUAUUAAAAGACAAAUCUUUUUUUUUUUAAAUAUAUUUAGAACCGGUUAAAUUUCACUUCUAAAAAAAUUUAAUUAGCUUGUAAUCGGUUAAAUAUAAUUUAAUCAAUCAUUUUAUUAUAUUAUAGUUAUUGUUUUAUUCCCACCCCUAUUUGUGAGUGAUUGAUUCACAAUUAUUUUAAUUAAUUAAUUAUUUUUUUGCCCUUCAAUCAUAUUACUCAGAACCGAUCACUCGCUUUUAUAUUUCAAACCAUUGUUCCCGGUAUGCCCACUAAUUGCUGAAAAAUUCUUUGACCCAUUUAUAAGUUUCGUAUGUUAUUUCCCGUCCAUUCGAUUUCAGACCCUCAAAUCUAACGAUUCAUAUUGGCUGGCUGUAAGUUACGGAUAUUGCAACUCAGCCGUUGCCACAUAUACACGCACAAUAGUCAGUUACUGUUGUUAUUGCGGUAGUUGGGCCGAUUAGUGUUCAGUCUUGACAGCCGAGCAACUCCAAAGGGUAAUUUGGUCUUAUUACGCUGUUUUGCCCUGCAUUUCUAGCUGACACUUCAAGCUUGCCACUCUGCUGCUACUCAAAGCUUGGAGAGCUCGCCAUGGAAAAUAGCUUUACGUACUCUCCAGGCGAGGUCGCCAAGGUCCGGUUGGUCCAGUUCAGCAUUCUCAGCCCUGACGAAAUUGUAAUUUUCCUUUGGCCUUAGCGUUUCUCUCUUGUAAUUUAUUGGUAGUCUGGUUGGUUGCUGAUGAAGGAGGAAAAAAAAAUGAAAAGAAAUUUUGAAAGAGUACUAACCUGAUACGGCUAUAAGUUGUAAAUUGUAUUCUUUACUAGCAUCAGGGAAUCAUUGGUUAUUCGUGCAUGUAUUGUUAAUGUCAUGUAUUUUAUAAAGUAUAGAUGUAGUCAAUUUUGUUUAUCUCCAUUUUCCCAUUGAGAAAUAGGAUUUGGAUACGAAUUCUGCUUUCAUGAUAGAUGCCUUGUAGGUUUUUUAUAUGCAUUUUGAAGUAGGCUUUCCAUGUUACUUGGUUAUCUGAACUGUUUUUUUUUUAUCCUCCCUUUCUUGUUCUAUUUGGUUCCCAAUAGUGUAGAUGAGAUGAAGUUGUUUCUUUCAUAGUUUGAUUGUUCGUCCAUCCUUAAAAUUUCUAGUAGAUUAUUGUCUGCUUCAUGCGUGAUUGCUUAUUUUUCAAGCAGGAAGAUGACAAGUUUAAGCUAGCUUUGAAAAUAAGGAACCCCAAGAGCAGGCUUGAACAGAUUUUGUGUGCAUGUAAAACCAAAAACAAAUGGGAAGGCGAUGAUGAGAUUGAUGUCCUCAGUCUCCUUGGUCAUGAUGGUGAAGAACCUCUUAGAAAGAGAAAGAGUGGCUGUGGUGCUCUGCAACCAACGCUGACAAUUGACGGCAUGAAUAUGAUUGCAGAGUACAAGGCUCAAAGAAAAAAGAAUGAUGAUCAAGGACAACUUCCUGAACCUGUUGAAAGAAAGCAGACACUUACUGCAGAAAGGGUAACUUAUUCUGAAGGCAACACAUUCGUGGUUUCAUUUUCACCUGCUUGUUUCAUGAUGCUAACUUUGUUAACCAUAUUUCAGGUACUUGAAGUUCUGGCAAGAAUAACUGAUGAGGACUGCCAACUCCUGGGAUUGAAUCCUCAGUAUACCUGUCCUUCGUACUCGUAUCAUGAAUAAUGAAGCUCCAAUAGGAGGACUGAAUGAUGAAUCAGCUGAAGAUGAUGUUUUCUUGGAAAAGAUUGAGAAUAACAUGCUGCUGGAAAUGGCUCUCCAAGGUAUCCCCCAUAUCAACAAGGUGUUCAUUAAAAAGGUUAAAUCAACCAAGUACGAUGAUAAUGAACGAUUUAAGUCGGAAAAGGAAUUUAUGCUGGACGCUGAAGGUGUGAAUCUUUUAGCUGUUAUGUGUCAUGAAGAAGUUGAUGCGAGAAGGACAACAAGCAAUCACUUGGUUGAAAUUAUUGAAGUGCUGGAGAUUGAGGCAGUUCAUAGGGUGCUGCUGCAUGAAUUGCGAGCAGUCAUAUCUUUUGAUGGCUCUUAUGUGAAUUAUCGGCAUCUGGCUAUCCUUUGUGAUACCAUGACCUAUCUAGGCCACUUGAUGGCCAUCACUCGUCAUGGCAUCAGAAGGAUUGAUACUGGACCCUUGAUGAGAUGUUCAUUUGAAGAAACUGUUGACAUUCUUCUUGAUGCUGCAGCUUAUGCUGAAACAGAUUAUUUGCGGGGGUCACUGAGAAUAUUGUGUUAGGUCAGCUCGCACCUAUUGGAACUGGAUACUGUCCUUUGUAUGUCAAUGAUGAGAUGCCAAAGAAUACCAUCGAACUUCAGCUUCCAAGUUAUAUGGAAGUUCUGGAUUUAGGGAUGACACCCACUCGAUCUCCACUCUCUGGUACUGCUUAUCAUGAUGGCAUGAUCAAGUCCAACAUACAGGCCUGCAUCACCCCAUAACGAAGGAUAAAAGAUAUCCUAUUUGAACUGUGAAUGCUGAAAUGACUUUGAUAGUUAUUGUCUGUUAUUUUUUUUUUUCUUUUUUUCCAUAAAUGACAAUUUUGCGCCUGUUUCAAUUAUAUAAAGACAAAUAUAGGUUCCUACACGAUUGCGUUGUUACCCGUUUAAUGAUGUCAAAUAUAUAGAUGGAAGUUGCGACGUUGCCAUGUAUAUGAUGAAAGAAUGAAGAGAGAUUAAGGCAGCGUUUACUUUUUGGAGUGAGAGUGUGGAGUGUGGAUUUCUCCCACUCCAGUGUUUAUUUACCUUAAAAAAAAGGGGAGUGGGAGUGGGAAUCCGUGGGUCUCACCUAAUUUUGGAGUGGGGAGUGGGAUUCUCACUCCCAUGGGGGGAGGUGGGAGUGAGAAUCCACUCCCUCCUCUUCCCAUUUUAUCCUUAUAAUUAAAAUUAAAAUAAAUAAAUAAUAUUUAAUAAAAUAAAUAAUAUCAUAUUUAUUAAAAAUAAUAAUUAUAUCAUAUUUAUUUUAUUAAAUUUAAUAAAAUAAAAAUAAAUAAAUAUUAUAUUUAAAUUAAUAAUAUUAAACAUUAAUUUUAAUAAAUAUUAAUUAAUUAUUUAAUUAAUAAUAAUAAAUAUUUUAUUCUAAAAAAAUAUUAAUUUUGUACUAUAUUAUCAAUAAUAAUAUUUCAUUUGUGUUGCUAUUAUUAAUAAUUUUUAUUCACAUAAUUUAAAUUAAAAUUAGCAGAAAAUUAUGAUUUACAUAAUUAAGAAUAUUAGUAAUUAUUAUUAAUUUAUAAAUAUAAUAAAAUAUUUAUUUUAUUUUCUAAAUAUAUUUUUUAAUUAAUUUUUUAAUUACAAAUUAUAAUUCUGUACAUAAGGAUAAAAUUAUAAUUUAAAAUAAUUUACUCACAAUCUAAGAUAAAAUAAAUAAAUAAUUAGGAUUUUGAUUGACAAUCCAUACUUUCAUUUAAUUUAAGUAAACACCCUACUCACACUCCCACUUCACACUCCUAAUCCAAAGAUUCCCACUCCUCAAGAUUCUCACUUCAAUCCAAAAAAUAAACGCAGCAUAAACAUAUUUGUUGUCAUGUGAUAAAGGAAGUGAUCAGAGAAUUAAAAUACCAUGUCAAAGUCCAAUUGAACAAAAUGAAUAUGAAAACCAAAUAACUCAAAGUCAAAGUACAAUUGAACAAAAUGAAUAUGAAAACCCAAUAACUCAAAAGUAGUAGCUUAAUUAAAAGCAUCAUAUUAAUUAACCUAUAUACGACCUAUAAAAGAGCCAAUGAUCAUCAGCUUUUAAUCUCUCAUAGGGAUCAUCAUCAUCAUCAACUGAGUCCGGAAUCUUGGCUAAAACUCUCUCCCUAAUCUCGCGAAUCUUCUCUUGUAAUUUAUCGCUAGCCAUCUCUUCAUCGGUCAUGGUAGGAAGGCUCUCAGGCUUCACUUCUCCAAGAAGAAUCUUUCUUCUAAAGUCAGGAUUUCUUGAAUUCCUAACACUGAACAAGAUGGUUCUAUACUGGGGUUUGUUUGACCCACUGAUAGGACCCAACGUUUUAAACAGCGCUGAUUCUACUGAUGCAGCAACUCCAACUGGGUCACAAGCUCUUAAUUGCUCCUUCAUCAUCUCUUCAUUAUUCUCUUCAUAAACUUUAGACAAUCCCUCUACAAGACGGUCACGAAAUUGGUUACGUGUAGCAUCAACAUCAGACAUGCUCUGAUUUCUAAGAUUAAUUUUAAAAUCAACGUUUCUUGACAAACCCAUGACAAUUAAACUCAAAAGGGAUCGACGCUUAAUGCUCUGAUUUCGUAGAUUAAUAUUAAAAUCAAAAGAGAUCGAUGAGAAAGGGAAUUGAGUGAGAUCAGAUGAACGAUCGAGGGGACUGAAUGAACAAAAAUCGCAGAGAGAAAUUAGAGAACUGCUUAUGAAAGAAUUAACAGAAGAAGAUUUCACAAACUCACUUGAUAUAUAUAUUCACGGUUUCAUUGCGACGAAGGGAUUCCUAUACUCAAUAGGAAAUCCUCGUGGGCGGUAUUCCUAUUCUCCUCAUAAAACUCCUUUUCAAAUUAUUUUUAUUUUAUUCCAAAAAAUAUCUUUUUUAUUUUAAAAUAUUUCAUCUAGCUUUUAUUGUUUUUUUAAUUAUUAAACCUCAACUAGUAUUUUGUUUUUGUUUUUGUAAUCUUGUUGUCGCCCCUACGCAUAAAUUAAGAAAUUUUAUAGAUGACGAAUUUUUUAAUGUCAACCAUUGAUUUAAAUUACACUUAUUUUAAAUUAUAAUCUGCUGUACGGCCAACGCGGAUAUAUUUAAUUAAUUAAAAAUAAAAAAAGAAUAAUAUAUUAUUUGAAAUUUGUAUAGCUUAUUUUAGUUUGAUAGAUUGAAGUGAGAGAUUAAAAAAAAAUUAAUAAUGAAUGCAAGUAAUUUAUUGAAAAAAAUUUAAGUGUGUAAUUAUUAUUUUGUCUUUAAAUUUAAAUUUAUCCGAAAUGGAGUUGUAUAAGAAAAAUGGAACGGUGCGAAUAGCUUCAGUUUUUCGAUAUCAGCAUUGAUGAUGAUGCAGUACUGGCGGCUGAGUGGUGAUUCGCGGGACUUCUGAUGAUGUGGUGCAAUCUUUGUUGUUGCUGGCUUGGUAAUGACGCGUCAUUUAAAAAGCAGGUGCCACAAGUAGGGCCCAUACGCUUGCACACUACAGAAUUGGAUCCAUCAAUUCCCAUCCUAAGAGAAAAUCAACUCCGUAUUUGUUGUAAACGUGAUAAAUCUAUUUAACGGGUCCCCCUAGACUUAACCCCAUUGGCCCCGCCAAAUCCCCCGUCUCCACGUCCAAAUCUAUUGGAAAAUGCUAGUAACUUGAGUCAAGCCCCGGAUCAAAUCUCGAAAGCAAUACACAACAUCGUUUCAAUCCUUUUUUUUCCCUAACCAAGCCCGAAAACGACGUUGUUUUGACAAAAUUGUUACAGCCGAAAUUAGUUUUUCUGUAUUCGUCUCACAACCCCUUUCUCCUUCUAUUUCUCUGUUUCUCUUCCCCUUCGUUUCAGCUUCGUCAAGGCAAAAUCAACAACAUCCCUAAAUUGCUCUCUUUCUCCUAACUGAAAUCAACAGCUUCGUGCCAUUUGUUCUUGACUGAAAUAUGUAAUUUAUUACCCGACUGAAAUGUGAUAACUUGUGUUAUAACAACACAUUUGAGCUUUGCGAAAUGCAGUUAUUUUGGGCAUAUUUUUAGUUGUGGAAAUGAUUGUAUAAGUUUGCGAAUUGGAGUUAUUUUGGGCAGAUUUUUGGUUCAUUAUUAACUGUUGUGGAAGUGAUUGUAUAGCUUUGCGAAUUGCAGUUUUUGGGCAUAUUUUUGGUUCAUUAUUAACUGCUGUGGAAGUGAUUGUAUAGUUUUGCGAAUUGGGGUUAUUUUGGGGCUGUUGUGAGACAAAUAGAAAACGAAGAGAAAGAGAGUUGGGACUGAUAUUGAUUUUGUCUCAACCAAGAUGAAACGAAGGGGAAAUGGGUUGUGAGACAGACCGGGAAACCAAUUUCGGCUGUAACAAUUUUUCCAAAACGACGUUGUUUAGCUUAAAUGAGAGGAAAAAAAAAAAGAGAUUGAAAUGGCGUCGUUUGUUUAUUGAUUUCGGGGUUAACCCGGGGUAAAUAGCAGAAUUCAAAUCUUUUUAGCUCACUUUUACUUUUUGCCCUUGUAUAUUAUAAUUUAAUAAAAUAUAAUUUUUUUUUCGGUCUUAAUGGUUCCUUAUCGACUCUAAUCAUUUUUCUAUGUCUACAAAAAUUAUUCUAUAUUUCAAGCGUUGAAUCGAUUAUUUAAUCUUCAACUCUCAAAAUACCCAUUGCAUAGAUAUCUAAUGUAAAGAUUUAUCAUCAAUUUUUGUAUAGUGCAUGCUUGGGUGAUUUAGCCGGGAAAAGAUUUGAAGAUUGUAUCCGUAAAAAAUUAAUAAUAAAAAUGAAUUGGCAGGAAAAAUAAAAAAAAAUAGAUGCUAUAAACAUGAGUCACUGACUCACUGGAAACUAUUUGUUGUCUAAUGAAUUUGUCUUGUACUCUGACCACCAAGCCUUCAAGUACCUUUAGUCUCAAAAAAGGCUAACUGAUAUAUGGGUCGAGUUUCUUCAGACCUUUACAUUCGUACUUAGGCAUUGCCCAGGUGAGGAUAACAAAGUUGCUGAUGCUCUUAGCCACGUGGCUAACCUUUUGCAUACUUUUGAGCAUCCCAGUAUUAGGCUUUGAUAGGACCAAAUCUGUCUACUUCUCUUGUCCGGAGUUUGGGAUAAUUUAUUAGGAUAUUUUAUUCACAAUGGAUAUUUUUAGAGGAGUUCACCUAUGCAUUCCCCAUGCCUCAUUUCAAGACUUGCUUGUUUGGGAAAUGCAUGCCGGAGGAUCUACUGGUCACUUAGGUAGAGAUAAGACAAUAGAUUUAGUUGAAGAUAGAUUCUAUUGGCCUUCAUUAAGAAAAGAUGUCGCCAAGAUUGUGUCUCAGUGUAGAACUCGUCAACUAGCUAAAGCUAAGAAACGUAGUUGAGGGUUGUACACCCCACUUCCUGUACCUUACACUCCUUGGCGUGGCUUAAGCAUGGAUUUUGUCUUAGGAUUGCCAAAAACUGCUCGUAGUCAUGAUUCUGGUUUUUUUGUGGUAGAUCAAUAUUCUUAGAUGGCCUGGCCCAUUUUAUUCAUUGUGCUAGGACUGCUGAUGCUUCGCAUGUUGGGAAGUUAUUCUCUAAGGAGAUUGUUAAAUUGCAUGGUCUGCUUGUUACCAUAGUGUCUGAUAGGGAUGUUAAAUUUGUUAGCUAUUUUUGGAAAACACUUUGGAACAUCGUAAAAUUUUCAUAUGCUUUUCACCUACAAACUGAUGGUCAAACUGGGGUUGUUAACCAUAGUUUGGGAUACUUUUACGUUCUUUAGUAGGUGGUAACUGGUAAGCCUGGUAAUUGGGAUCUUGUUCUUCCUAUGCCUGAAUUUGCAUAUAAUAAUGCUGUCCACAGGAUCACUGGAAAAAGCCCUUUUAUGACUGUUCAUGGCAUGCCACCAUGUCAGCCUGUUGACCUUGUCUCUAUACCACAUGAUUCUCGCCCUUCUGAAUUUGCUUCUGAUUUUGCUACACACAUGCGAGAAUUACAUACUGAAGUUAGACAAAAUAUUGCCCUUUGUAAUGAAAAUUAUAAACUGGCAUAUGUCCUGAACAUUUUACCAAACACUUCUCAAAGAAAUUACAUGCACGAACCACUGGACCUUUUGGCAUUCUUAAAAAGCUUGGAAGUAAUGCUUACUUAUUAGACUUGCCUCCGCACUUGACUAUUAGCCCAGCAUUGAUGCAGCAGACUCGUUUCCUUACCAGGCCACUUUCGAGCCUCCAGUUCUUUUUUUUUUUUUUUCCCUGACCUGUGUACAGAUUCAUCAUCUGCUCCGGCACCUCAUUUACCUCCAUUUUUACCUGGAUCUUCUGAUGAUAUAGCAGAUAUCUUAAUGAUCAAUUUGUGACUUCACCUAAUGGAAGUUAUUGCCGAUUCUUGGUCCGAUGGAAGAAUCGCCUUGACAUAGAUGAUGCAGGGCUUACUAAGGACAAGCUUUACCGUCUUGAUCCCAUGUUACUGGACUCUAAUUUGCAGCGCUAUUCCUCGGAGUCGAGUUCUUUCCAACAGGGGGGAUUGAUGUAGGACAUCCUAAAGAUAUACCUGUGUAUUCAAAACGUAGGCGGGGAACUUAGUAUUUAGUUAGAUUUCUUUGCUGGUCAUAUUAGAAUCUAUUGGAACAGUAUUAUUGUAAUAAUAUAUCAUUAUGAGAUAUUUUUAUUACUAUAAAUAUCACUUAUGGUUUAAUAGUAUAAUAAUCCAUUUCCUUUUAGGUUAAGGAUUUUUGUAAUAACAUUACUUUUGAUUUUAUAUCUUUUCCCUAUAAAGAGGGCACAGGGCUUAUUCUAAUGGAUGAUAUGAAUGAAUUAAUAUUGGGAAACUUUCGUUCUUAUGAAUUUUCUCGCUUUCCUCUGAUUUAUUCUCUUCUACUUUCAGCUAUGUUCAUCCCAUUUCUUUAUAAAGUUAUUUUAUUUCUGAUAUGUUGAUAAAUCUAACAUUAUCUACAGCCUUUUGUUUUGCAAUUCUUUUCAUGACCUUCUUGUAUAUGCACUGAUUUCGGUAUGUUUCUGAUUUCAGGUAUCAAAGAUGCUUUCAACCAAGAUGAAAGCUCAACUGCAGUGCAGAGAGCAGCUGUUUAAGAUGAGGAUAUCUGGGAUAUGGUCUAUCUGCUGACCAAAUCAGACUAUGAUAUUAUGUCCGAGGUUCAGACUAUUGGACGUGACCUUUUACUAUCAGUGGAAGAAGAGGCGUACCAGCCCUCGGAACCUGCGGCAUUUGAUCACUGGACCACCUCCAAAGAGAAAGAGCUUCUUUAGAAGGAUUGUUUUGUGUGGUAGUUUCAUUUUUACUUGGGAUCGUUUUGGCUGUACUACCUAAUAUCACAUUUCCAUCUUGUCAUUCACUUACUGUUUCUCAUAUUAAUGACUUCCUCCUCAAGUUCUUUUUUCUGUUUAAUCUUGAAUAUAGUUCAACUAUCUUGCUUUUGCUCCUUGUUUAGUAAUCUCUACACUAUACCCUGCAAAAAUAAAGAUAUUAUGCAAAUGAUACAUUUCACCAGUUAAAUAGAGACAUUAUAACAAAAACCAAUGCGUUGUACAAAUAUAAUCCUUUUUCUCAUUUUCAAGUGUGACAAGAUGGUUUUGGACAUAGAGUGGAUGAAUUUUUUCUACGGUAUAUUUCCAACAGCGUUUCAAGAAAAGUGCUAAGCUAGUUUUCGGAAGCAUAUUUAUGCUUUGACACAACAUAUUUCUGAAAGCGACGUAUUUGUGCUUUAAUACAAAAAUUUCUGAAAGAAAUAGGAUCAAAACACAAUAGAAAUCAACCACUAGAAGUCUCGACCAUAAGUCACCAGAGGAUGGUAAUGCUUUGAGGCAUGCAAUUCACACAGAAAGAUAAGUCGAUGCAUUUAUGGAUAGGAUUACAUCACUAAAGUUCACUGAAUUUUUUUUUAGAAGAAAAUGUUGAGGUAUCAAAAUAACUAGAACACUUACCAAGCUGCAAUGCAAUGGGGUAUAAAUUCCAUAACGCAUACAUAUGUUGAGAGAAAUAGUGAAUCGAAAUAGAGCAACAUACCAUUAGGGUGUUGUGUGUGUGAGAUUUUUAGAUCAUAUUGAGUAAUGAAUUGUAACUGUUUUUAUUCAAAGCAUCAAUCUACAGAUCAGCUGGUAUUUAUAUCUCAGUAGCUUUGAGUCCAGCUCACUUAUUUCAUUAUACAAAAAUGACAAACACAAGUAAGACAUGUAAACAAAAGAUUCAAUCACAACCGUUAAUUCAUAACUAAUUUUCUACAUCACAUAACAGCUGUGGAAUCUCUGUAUAGCUGUUCUGCCACCUGGAAUAUUCUUCCACUGCACGUGUGGACUGCAUCACUUCAUUUGUGUGAACACCUUCCUUGGUUAACAAGUAAAUUCCAGCUGGUAUUCCCACGUGAGUUGAUCCAGGUUUAGCUUCAUUCUCCAACUUAACAUCCCUUCUCAAACUUAAGUCUCUAGAAGAGACUUUAAGUUUGUUUCGGAAGAAGCUGAACUUGGAGUAAAUGAGUGGCUUGGUCAGUACAUCUGUUGUUUGAUCACUACUGGAUACAAAAGUAAUUUCAAUUUCUUUCUUUUCAACCUUAUCUCUGACAAAAUGAAUGUCUAUCUCAAUGUGCUUAGUUUUAGAGUGAAGAACUGGGUUUGUAGCAAUUGCAGCUGCACUUGUACUGUCAGUUAACAGCAGAGGAGUGCAGUUUGGUCUUACACCCAACUCUUUGAGUAGAGAACAUAUCCAUGUUAUUUCUGCACUAGCUAAUGCCAUAGCUCUGUAUUCUGAUUCAGCUGAGGAUUUUGAUACUACAGUUUGCUUCUUUGAACUCCAGCUAAUCAAAUUGUCACCCAAGUAUAUACAAUAACCACUAGUAGAUUUUCUGUCAUCAGGAUCACUUCCCCAAUUAGCAUCUGAGUAAGCUAUUAGAUCAAGGCAAUCAAACUUCUUGAAAAUCAGACCAUAGUUGAUUGUUUCCUUUAGAUAUUUGAGUACCUUUUUACAAGUUGUCCAAUGUGGCUGCAGAGGAUUAGCCAUAAACUGACUUAACUUAUUCACUGCAUAUGCAAUCUUAAGUCUGGUUAACACAAAAUAUUGCAACCCUCCAAUAGCUCUUCUGUACUGGGUUGAGUCAGCACAUUUUUCUCCCACAUAUUUGCUCAACUUUUCAGUAGUUGCUAAUGGUGUAUCUAAACCAUUACAGUUCUUCAAAUCAAAUUUGAUGAGCAGUUCCUUUAAGUAUUUGGUCUGAGACAAUACCAGUGUUUCUUCAUUUCUUGUAACUUCAAUGCUAAGGAAGAAGUUAAGUUGUGCCAAAUCUUUAAGAGCAAAAUUAUUUCCUAUAUUGCAAAUAAGUUGCUCUAUUUCACCAUGAUUACUUCCAGUGACUAUAAUAUCAUCAACAUAAACUAACAAAAUGAUUAGACCAUUUUCAUUUUGUUUGAAAAACAGAGAUGUAUCUGAUUUUGCUCAACAGAACUGCCAUGAUUCAAGAACUGAUCUUAAUUUAUCAAACCAGACUCUUGGUGCAUGCUUCAAACCAUAGAGUGCUUUCUUCAAUUUACAAACAUACCUUGGGUGGUUUGCAUCCACAAAUCCUUCAGGCUAAGGCAUAUAAACUGUUUCUGUUAACUUUCCAUUCAGAAAUGCAUUGUUAAUAUCAACAUGUCUCAGCUUCCAGUUAUUCAUCCCAGCCAUGCUUAGAACAAUUCUAAUAGUAGCUGCUUUUACUACAGGGCUGAAAGUCUCCUGAUAAUCUACUCCUUCAGUUUAUAAGAAACCCUUUGCCACUAACUUGGCUUUAUAUCUAUUUAAUGUUCCAUCUGAGUUUUGUUUAACUCGAAAGAUCCACUUAUUUCCCACAAGUUUCGUAUUUUGCUCUGGUGGAACCAAACACCAGGUUUGAUUCUUAAUUAGAGCAUCAAAUUCAUCUUGCAUAGCUAGCUUCCAAUUUCUAUCACUCAAUGCUUCAGCAACACUUGAUGGUGUUUCUAGAGACAAGGCUUUUUCAGUAUUAAAAGCUUUAGGCUUAAAAAUUUCAGCUUUGGCUUUAGUUAUCAUGGGGUGUGAAGAAUUGAGUUUAGGAGUGGUUUGAGAUGUUUCAGAGUUUUGAUUCUGAACUGGUGUGUUUUCAGGUGCAAUAGAAUGUCUGAAGUAUUUUGAGUUUCUGAGUGUAUGUUUGAAACAUUGUAAGGCACUUGGUUAGUUUGAUUUUGACUGUUGUCAGAGUUUUGAUAAUCAGAGGGAGCAAAAUCUAGAAUUGGAUGCUCAAAAAAGUUUGAACUAGCUGUUAUUGCCUCAUGACUAUGAUUUUCAGAAGGAAAGGAUAUUAUGAUGAAUUUACUGAAGGAGUUUACAGACUCAGGUAAUUGAUUUUGUUUUGAACUCAUGAAUUUUGAAUCUGUUUUGAAAUGAAAUGAACUUUUAUUGAAGUUAACAUGUGCUGCUAUGUAUAUCCUUCCAUUUGAGUUUAGACACAUGUAACCUUUGUGAAAGUAACUGAAAUCUAGAUUGACACAUGUAGAGGUAUGCAAAUCGAAUUUGUGUCUGUUGUAAGGUCUUAAGAAAGGAUAGCACUCACAAUUAAAUAUUUUGAUAAGAGAAUAAUCUGGUUUCUUUUAGUAGAGAGACUCAAAAGGUGUUUUUUCAUUUAAAGUAGGUGUGCUAGUUCUGUUUAUAAGAUAAGUGGCAUUAGAAAAGGCUUCCCACCAAAAUUUCAAAGGUAAUCCAGAUUGAGCAAGAAGUGUCAAUCCAGCUUUUAUAAGGUGUCUGUGUUUUCUUUCAACUUUCCCAUUUUGGUGGUGGGUAUCUGGGCAGGAAUAUCUCAAAGAAAUCCCUUCAUGCUUUAGAUAUGGUUCAAAUGCUUUAUAUUCUCCUCCCAAGUCACAUUGUAAAGCUUUAAUCUUCAGUUCAAGGCUUUUCUCAAUUUGGUUUUUGAAAGAAAUGAAGGUUGUGAGUGCCUGAGAUUUUUGUGUCAAUCCAUAAAUCCAUGUAUAACUGGUUUUGUCAUCAUAAAGGCUAUAUAGUAUCUAAAACCUUGAUUUGAUUCAGUGGGAGCAGGACCCCAAAGAUCACUAUGAAUAAUUUCAAGAGCUUUUGAGGUCUUUGUUUCACUGUAUUUGAAACAUAGUAUGUGUUGUUUUCCAAACUAAAGCUUUGCAGAAAGAUAAACCAAAUGUUUUAUUUCCAAAAGAAAUAUUACAAGCUGACAAGGUUUUCACAAGAGCAUUGAUAUUAGGAUGACCUAAUCUCAUAUUCCAUAGAUCAAGCACAUUAUUGCUUGUACAAGUUUCAUUACAACUAACAGACAACAUGGACUCAGGUCCAAGGUAUUUUGUUUACUGUAAGUAAACUAGGAGUAACAGCAGAAGAUAACAUAAUGGACUUGAAUUGACUGGAAUCAUGAGGCAAACUUAGUAGCUUGUACAAUCCAUCAUUAGCUAUUCCUUUCAAAAGAACACUCCCCCGUCUCUUGUCCUUAACAACACAAGGAGUUUUAUUGAAUUCAAUGGAAACAUCAUUAUCAUGUAAUAGUUUCGAAAUACUGAUCAAAUUUUUGGUUAUUUCUGGAACAUAAAGUAUAUGAUUAAGUUUGAUAUGAGAUAAUGUGUGUGAAUCAAGUGUGCUUAGUAGUGAGUAACCAACUGAAACUAUUUUGAGUUUAGCUCCAUUACCUACUGCCAGCUGAUCACUUCCUUUGCAUUCAGAACUGAUGUUGAGAUUGUUGAAGUCAUUUAAAAUGUGAUUUGUUGCACCAAUGUCAAGAUACCAACCUCCAUCUUCGUGUCCUCCAUUCUUAGUUAUGUAAGCACUCCUCCUAUGAGGCACUUGAUUUGGCACAUAGUUCUUCUUGAACUUGUACCAGCAGUGAGCAGCAGUAUGAUUUUUCCUAAAACAGAUCUGGCAUGGUCCUUUAGGUUCUUCUUCAUCAGUAGGAUUUUUGCCUUUGAAUUUUUCUGAUGGAUUUAUGACCUGAUUGAAAUUGUUUCCACCAGGUUGUUUUCCAUUUGAGCUUCCAGCUGGUCUUCCAUCAUAAUUGUUAUUAUUUCCACCAAAAUUGAAGUUUGACUGCCAGUUCCUCCUUUGAUUUCCUCUGUGAUAAGCUAAAUUAGCUUGAUAAUCCAUGUGACUGACAGAGUGUUGAUAUUCAAUUCUGUUUUCAUGACUCAGCAGCAUUCCAUACACAUUAGAGAGAAUUGUGCCUUCAGGUUGUGCAUUGAUUGUGGUAACAAUUGAAUCAUAUUCAUAUCCAAGGCUAGCAAGCAAGCAUAACACAAAAUCUUCAUCACUCAUAUUACUUCCAGCAGAUCUCAGUGCAUCAAUAGUGGUUUUCAUCUUAGUGUAGUACUCAUGAACAAUAGUUGAUCCUUUCCUGGUAGUCUGAAUUUGAGUCCUCAGAUGCAAAACUCUAGCUCUAGAUCUGGCUCCAAAUUGAGUUGCAAGAAUUUGCCACACAUCCAGAGAAGAUCUAGCUCCAACUAUAGCACUAAGAACUUCUUCACUUAAGGUUGAAAGCAACUAGCUCAUCAGCUGCUGAUCAUUUCUCCUCCAGAUCUGGAACUGUGGAUUUGGAGUUGUGAUAACUAUUUGAUCGUUGUCAAUAUUAACCGUAACUCAAUUAGGUGGGCUCUUUGAGUUAUCAAUCAAACUUCCAGAUCGUUUGCAUUGAUUGUUGCUAUCACUUGAGAUCGCCAUAGUAGAUCUGCUGUACGGCCAAGGCGGAUGUACGGUACAGCAGGUUUAGAAUAAUGAGAUUUCUUAGAAAAAUUAAAAAGAAAAACAAAAUAAUAGGUAAUUAAUUUCUUGAUUAGAUUAAUCUCGAUAUAGUGCUGUCAUAAUUUUUAAUUACAUGCAUAAAUUUAGUUUGCAUAGGCAUUAGUGGAAAAUUGAACAUAAGCCGAAUAUUUCAUGUUGAUUCCUCGUAGUUAAUCGAUAAACCAAUGAACAAUCUUAUUGUUGCCAUUUAGCUGAGAAAUGAAGUUUUAUUAAUUGUUAUUCUUUGAUCCUGUCAUGCAUAGUUAUCUAAAUAUUCAUCUUGUUCAGCAACCUAAUGAGGUGCUGUAGCGGAUGAAACUCAAAUGAAGAACAGAGGAAUUAAAGAAAAUGAAUAGCAAGACAAACAAUUAUAAAUGACUGAGUUUGAACUUUGAAUUUUACCGAAAUUAUGUCAUUAAAUUAAUUUAGCAAAUCAAUAAUAUCCCCUCUAAUUUUUUCAUCUAAGCAAAUUUUAUGAUAUUAAAUAUUUCAUUAAACAAAGACUGGCGUUUUCAUGACUCAGCAGCAUUCCAUACACAUUAGAGAGAAUUGUGCCUUCAGGUUGUGCAUUGAUUGUGGUAACAAUUGAAUCAUAUUCAUAUCCAAGGCUAGCAAGCAAGCAUAACACAAAAUCUUCAUCACUCAUAUUACUUCCAGCAGAUCUCAGUGCAUCAAUAGUGGUUUUCAUCUUAGUGUAGUACUCAUGAACAAUAGUUGAUCCUUUCCUGGUAGUCUGAAUUUGAGUCCUCAGAUGCAAAACUCUAGCUCUAGAUCUGGCUCCAAAUUGAGUUGCAAGAAUUUGCCACACAUCCAGAGAAGAUCUAGCUCCAACUAUAGCACUAAGAACUUCUUCACUUAAGGUUGAAAGCAACUAGCUCAUCAGCUGCUGAUCAUUUCUCCUCCAGAUCUGGAACUGUGGAUUUGGAGUUGUGAUAACUAUUUGAUCGUUGUCAAUAUUAACCGUAACUCAAUUAGGUGGGCUCUUUGAGUUAUCAAUCAAACUUCCAGAUCGUUUGCAUUGAUUGUUGCUAUCACUUGAGAUCGCCAUAGUAGAUAGUUGUUAUUAGUAAGCUUGAUAGGCAUGUUGAAGAUAAGUGAGCUGAGAACAGAGGUGCUGACAUUUGAGAUUUGGUUUGUGUUUACAGUUGAGCUUGAAGCUGCAUUGCUGUUUGUUUGAUUUUCAUUACUUGCCAUUGUUGCUUUUCAGAGCUCUAAUACCAUGUGAGAUUUUUAGAUCAUAUUGAGUAAUGAAUUGUAACUGUUUUUAUUCCAAGCAUCAAUUUACAGAUCAGCUGAUAUUUAAAUCUCAGUAGCUUUGAGUCCAGCUCACUUAUUUCGUUAUACAAAAAAGACAAACACAAGUAAGGCAUGUAAACAAAAGAUUCAAUCACAACUGUUAAUUCAUAACUAAUUUUCUACAUCACAUAACAGCUGUGGAAUCUCUGUAUAGUUGUUCUGCCACUUGGAAUAUUCUUCCUCUGCACGUGUGGAUUGCAUCACUUCACUUGUGUGAACACCUUCCUUGGUUAACAAGUAAAUUCCAGCUGGUAUUCCCACGUGAGUUGAUCCAGGUUCAGCUUCAUUCUCCAACUUAACAGUGUGUCGCGAGCAAAGUAUCUUCCGGAGGCCAUAACUUAGGCUAUAAGUGUCCAUUUUUUGUGUAAAAUAUAUUGUUUCGAAGUUUGGGAUGAGAUAAACAAAACUCAUAACUACCUUAGUUGUUCUGCCCUGUGGUCAAGUCGAAAGUUCUCUUCUUUCCUUUUUUUUUUUUAGUUUUAAGUUUUUUUUCUUAUUUUUCCUAACUCUUCUAGGAUUUUUAUCUUUUUUUUUUCUAGGACUCGGAUAUGAGUGCCGUUUGUUUUCCUUUUCUUAUUUUGAUUAGGAGAAUUUAAUUAUCCUACUAAAUUUUAGAUUUGCCAAUUUUGGUAAAUUUUUCAUAUUUAGACUUGUUAUAAAAGGGCUCAAAACCCUAAUUUUUAUUCAUUCAUAUUUUUAAUAAAAUUUAUCAUUAUUAAAAAACCUAAUUUCUUCUAUUAAUAAACUCAAUAACGCUCCUGUUUCGUCAACAUGUGUCAGGAGUUUCACCAUAGGUGGUGUUAACUAUUCAAACGAAAAUUUGUGUUGAGGCAACUACUAAAUUGCAUUAUAUGUAACUUACAGUAGACUCAAAAGUAGUUUUCCAUAAACAUAUUUGUUUGACAAGUAACAAAUGAGUCAUAAAAAAAAAUUAAUUUUAUGUUAAUGCAACUUACAUGAUAUAACCUAGUAAGUUGCAUUACAUAAAUGCAUCGUGUAUUUAGGCACGGAAUUUUUUUCUGGGUAAUCGAUGUUUGUUGAUGCUGGAUAUACAUUGUCCGUGCACCAUAAAUGCAACACUGAAGAUAUUAAUAAGUUUUAGGUACGUAAAUUUCACUCCAACCCAUGUAAAUUGAUAAUUUUUAAAUAAGCUGAAAAUUGCAAAAAGAAGUUGGAGAAUACUCAUUCUUUAGUUUUUUUUUUUUGGUCAUUUAUUUGAAUGGCGACCACAGUGAUGAACUUGUAAAUUUACUUCUGAUGACAUCUAAUUUCACUUAAAAAUGAUAAAAAUAUGUGUCAAAAAGAAAUUUUUAUGAUUCUUAUAUUAGAGAGAAAAUUGCUCUAACUUUAGGGAGAAAUUACAAGACUCAAAUUUAUGUGACAAGAACGAUAGGAAUCAAAUGACAUUAAUGAAAAUAAAAUAAUCAUUCAAAUGAUUGAUUGUCUCCAUCUUCAAUUAUUGAUUAUAAAAGAUUGUUUGUUAAUGGACAUAAAGAUUGACUAACUCAACCUUUUGCUAAUUAAUUAUUUUUUACAAAUUAUGUUAAUUGUAUCAUUUAUAUUUUUUCCAUAUUUCAAAUAGUCAUAUAAAUUAAACCUUUGUACUAUGAAUUAAUAAGAAUUAAAUUUAUCUUCUUUAUGUUAUUUCUAAAAAGUUUUCAAUCAGAAUACUAAAUGUAUAUGCAACUUGAUGAGAUUCUUUGAUUAACUCCCGAUUAAAAAAAAAAAGGCCAAACUAAAUACUACAUCAACUGGGGUUGGAAUUUGGUUCGAGAAAGAAUUCUUUUUCAUCUUAAUUUGACAUUUAUGUUUACGACCAGGGCUUAAUGGGACAAGCCAAAUCAUUACUCUUAUUAGGUUCUGCCUCUGCUACUCUUAUGAGUAGAACGUAAUUUUUCUAUUCUUAAAUGAAAUGUCAAGAGUAUUAAAAGAAAAAACAAAUUACACUUUACAUGAACAACGGAGAGUCCCCAUAAAAAAUAGCAAGAAGGCCGAUUUCUAUCUCCAAAUCACAUACAGUAACUCAUUAAUCCUAAUGGUAAACAGAAAUCACAUUUUGAAAAUCUCCAGACCAGAAUGUACAGGCUUCGUUAAUCGGCUUUGAGGUUUCCUAAUGUGUAUGUAUGUGAAUCCUUUCAUCACAAGGAAACAGUACAUCAAGUGAGUUUCCUAGUGACUAAUGAGUAUAUGAAUCCUUUCAUCACAAGGAAAUUGUGCGUAUAUAUAGAGUGAGUUUGGUUCUUCUUCUAUUAAUUCUUUCAUAAUCGGCUUUCUAGAAUCUCUAUGCGAUUUUGUUCAGCCAGUCCCCUCGAAGAAAUUGAUUGUCCGCCUGCUUCUAACCCAUUCCAUUCCGUUUCUUCAUUCCUUCAAUCCCCCACCAACAACAUAUUAAUCCGGGAAAUCAAAGCGUUAGGUGUCGAUCCCUUUUGAAUUUAAUUUUUAUGGGUUUGUUAAGAAACCAAAUGAACAAAAAAAAUUGCAGUGGAUAUGAUGAAUCCACGAAUGCCAAGGUGCCGUCCGGGAUUAAAAAGAAGAGAAAAUUUGAAGAAGAGGAGCACGCGGCUUUUGCUUCCAAGAAACCACGGAGAAAAAGAAAACUUGCUAAACUUUCUAAAGAUAAAGGGCAAAAGACGAUGGUAUCGUCCUCCAAGUGUCCUGAUGCAGACGUUAAACGUAAAAAAGUACGUGAGAAUCUUGUAGAGGCGUUGUCUAAAGUUUAUGGAGAGAACAAUGACGAGACGAUGAAGGAGCAACUAAGAGCUUGUGACCCCGUUGGAGUUGCUGCAUCAGUCGAAUCAGUGUUGUUCGAGGCGCUGGGUCCUAUCACUGGGCCAAACAAACCCAAGUACAUAUCCAUCUUGUUCUGUGUUAAUCAUUCAGAAAACCCUGACUUCCGAAGAAAGAUUCUUCUUGGAGAAGUGAAGCCUGAGAGAAUUCUUACUAUGACCGAUGAAGAGAUGGGUAGCCACAAAUUUCAAGAGAAGAUUCGCCGGAUCAGGGAGAGGUUCGCCGGAUGAGGGAGAGAGCUUUAGCCAAGAUUCUGGACUCAGUUGAUGAUGAUGAUGAUGGUCUUUACGAGAAAUUAAAAGCUCAGGCUCACCUAAAUUUUUAAUAGGCUAAUAUGGUGUUUUAAUUUAAGCUAGCAUUUGCAUUAAGUUGGGUUUUCAUAUUCGAUUUAUUCAUUUGUACUUUGAAAUGAUAUUUUAGUUCUUUGAUUACUUCCUUUGUCAUAUAUAUUACAUAUAGUCUCACCUCAUGAUGCAAAAACGAAUUACAGUGAAUCGUGUUCGGGUCGAAUUGCAAAUAUGCUUCCUUUUUUUAGGCUUGCUUCAUUGAAUAUUUAUAAGAAUGUUUGUAUUGGUAUAGGAGUGAAGAGUAGAGAUUUUUUUUUAAUACUAAUUACAUAUCAUACUACUACUAAAUUACAUCAAAUAUUUAUAAUUGUUGUUACAGUACUGCUAUUACAUCAGAUAUUUAUAAUUGCUAUUACAGCAGACACUAUAUUGAUAUUCACAGUCAGACAUAUAACUGAGACUUACAAUAUGAAGUAAUUACCCACAAUAUUAUAUUAAAUGCUAUGAAGUAUCAAAAACAAAGGAUAUCUCUACUCCACUCGCAUUUCGUAAAGGAGAAAAACUUACAAAUAAUGUUUAAUUGAGGGAGUUUGAGUUCAUGAAAACCCGAAUUCUUAUCCUCACAAUCAUAUUUAACUGUGAAAGUAAAUGUUCACUGUUGGGCUAAAGGCCCAUUGGUAAGAGUUGAGAUGUUAAAAGUCUCAAAGUUUGGAUCUCUUGCUUCCUAAUAUAUACAUAUAGUGUAAAUUAGUGAGCAAAUUUGACUAGGAAAUUUGAGUCCAAAGAUGUAACCGUAUUAUAUAAAUAAUAAAAUGAUGCUGUUUCUUAGCAGCCAAUGCAUCGAAAUUAGAAUUUAUAUUCUUUUUAAAAAGAAAGUAGAGGAAAGUGAUAACAACAAGAUAAUGGCAUUUUGCAACUUGAGAAGGGCAUGAUUACAAAUAAAAAAUGAUUGGUAUGCAGCUGUAAAUAAACAAUUCGUUACAGUUGCAACUUCCAAUUAGCGAAGAAAAAAAUAAAUAAGAUAAUUAAAAGCCAUCAAUUUUUUGUUACAAAGAUUAACUCCUUCAAUUUUCUGUUUUUCUUCUCAGCUCCACAUGAAUGUUCGUAAAUUGGAGAUAAUCAAAUCAUUUUGGAAUGACUCAAAUUUCGAAGAUAUUUGCUGUAAAUGGACUUGAACAAUGUAUGAAUCUCUAAUGGAGUGGUGAUAUUUGGCCCCUCAUUAUACCUUACUAAUCCCCACCAAUCACUUUUAUGUUAAUACCUAUUUGAUUCUAUUAUGAAAUGACUUAGAAAAUUUAAGGUAUCAAAAUACUAGAAUAUUUAUCAAACUGCAAUGCGAUGGGUAUAAAUUCCAUAAUACAUACAUAUAUUGAGAGAAACUGUGAAUCGAAAUAGAGCAACAAACCAUUAAUCUUUUACAGCAACAGCUUAGUAAUACUAGAGCUAGCAAAAUUUGACACGAAUUGAUUACUUGACACGAACACAAUACGAAUAAAUGAAUAUGGGUUGUUAAAUUUGACACGAUUAUUAAAUGGGCAGGCUCUGUAUCGACGAUUUUUUUCUGUGUCGGGCUAGGGUUAAAGUUCUUGACAUAUUUACCCGAUUAAUGACACGAUUAUAUUUUUCAUUCUAAAUUAAUUUAUAGGUUUUUAUCAUCAAAACUCAAAUAUUGGACAUGAUUCUUUUUUUUUUGGAAGGAUAAACAAAUGCACAAUGGUUUAUUUAUAAAAUUUUAUAUAAAUUUAGAGCUUCGAUAGUGUAAAUAUAUAAAAUAUUAGUAGAUAUGUAUAUUUUAAAAUAUCAAUAUAUAAUAUUAGUUACAUAUAUACAAUUAAAACUUCAAUAGUGUAAAUGUGUAAUAUUUUGGUAGAUUUGUAUAUUUUAUAAUAUUGAAUAUAUAUAAAUUUUUUUAAGUAUAUAGAUAUCAAGUAUGUUAUUAGGUAAUUUAUUUAUUUUCUGUGUCGGAUUAGGAUCACAAUAUUUUGAUAUAAUUAUUAAAUGAGUCGUAUUUGAAUCGACCUAAAUUUGACAUGACAUGAAGCUAACAUAAAACAACACAACUUGGUGGCCCGUUUUACCAUUUCUAAGUAUUAAAUCACCAAGAAGAAAGUUAAGAAUGAUAAUAUUUAAAAAAAAAAAAUAGACACAUGAGAAGGAGCUAUUGAACCUGGGGAUAUUGCUUCAGCUUCAACAAAAACGCAUAAAUAGACAAGCCGGGAUACAAAAUAAGGAGCCUCUGUGAACUCCUAUAUAAACAGUAGAGUUUGAAUACAAACUAAGAAAUCGAAAAUUUGUAGGUUAAGACCUAUGAAAAUUGCACUAGUCGGACAGGCCCCAAACAAUCUAAGCGUGCGUUCUUAGUGUGCUAUCACUUGGCUGCGUUUCCGAAUUCCAAUGCAAUAUGCGUUAUAGAUUAUGAUUAUGUGUCGUAAUCUCCGUAAAUCUCUCCCGCACUUGAAAUUGAUUCAUAAAUCCAAACUUUGUCAAAACAAACAAGUCCGGACCAAAUAUAAAUAGCUACUUGUGCAAGUGUGAAACACAUCGGUUAUAUUUUUUUUGAAGAAAGGAAGAAAUUUAUUAAACAGACAAAUGAGAAAAUAACCAGGGUGGUGGAACAUGUCUCCAUUCACCCGGACCUGACAAAGAACACCCCACCUUAGCCACAACAUGGGCAGCGGUAUUCGCAGAUCUCCUUACAAAAGAGAAAGUCACCUCUUUUAAGCAAUGAGCCAAGGCUCUACAAUCCGAAAUAAUAAGACCAAAACCAUUCUGAUAGUCCUUGGAAUCAAUCAAAGCAUUAAACACUUGUAAACAAUCAGUCUCAAUAAUAAUAGGAAAAAACUGGGUGUUCUUAAGCCAACUCAAGACCUCCCGCACACCCAAAGCCUCUGCCUCACAAGCUUCAAAAUUGCCAACCAAAGAUCCACAUUUUGCAGCAAGAAAUUGACCCUCAGAAGACCAGAUAAUUGUGCCGUAGCUAAUCCUAGUAGUAGCACGGGAAGUGGCAGCGUCCACAUUGCACUUAAACCAUCCAACGCGAGGGCGUUUCCAACAAAAAGAGCCAAGAGUUAAAUCUGCUGGCAUCUGAGUAAAGUGACUCAGUUGACGAGCCCUUUGCCACUAGAACAAGUCUUGACCAGCUUUAUUGAGCACUUGAGGCACUCUGCCUACUAAAUGCCUCCAAACUUUAGUAUUCCGAUUUUGCCAAAGACCCCAACAAACCAUUGCAGCAAGACAACUAUCCUCAAUACUACACCGAGUAAAUAGAGCAUCCAACCAAGCUCCAAAAGUAACAAAAUUUCCAGCAAAACCAACCAAAGAAACCAUCCAGCAUUGUUUGGCAAAAGGACAAUCAACUAAGACAUGAUAAAUUGUCUCAAGAGAUGCAUUACAGAUAGAACAAUAAGGGUGUACCUCAACUCGACGACUGAGAAGGUUAUCAGCAGUGGGAACCACAUUUGCCACAGCUCUCCAAAGAAAAUUCUUGAUUUUGGCGGGUACAGCCAGCUUCCAAAUCUUAUUCCAAACUCCACUGUCAGGCGGUUCCAAUAUAAUAUCCAUCCACUUAUAACAACUCCGAACAGUGUAAACUCCUUUUGCGUCGGGGAACCAAUACCAAGUAUCACAAUCCCUCCGAGAGCUAAGAGGAAUUUGGAGAAUGCAGUCUCGAUCUCUUCUGUUAAACACAUCCUUUACAAGGUCAUAAUCCCACCUUCGGUGAUCGGGAAUCAUAAGACUACUCACAGGAGCUGAUGCUAACGUCGCUGGAAGAUUAGUUGUAAUAAAGCCACUCUCCUGAUCAGGCAACCAAGGAACCGAGCCAAUAGUAAUGCUCUGUCCACUUCCAACUUGGAUACGACUCCCUUGGAUUAAAAUCUUCUGAGCAGCCAAAAUCGAUCUCCAUACAAAACUCGGAUUACUUCCCAUCUUUGCUUGAGUGAAGUCUGUAUUAGGAUAAUACCGUGCUUUAAACAAUCUGCCCACCAGCGAAGAUGGAUUUGUAAUUAACCUCCAGCCUUGUCUCCCUAGCAUAGCAACAUUAAAGUUGUGGAUGUGUUUAAACCCAAUACCACCAUAAGAUUUGGGCUUACAAAGUCUGCCGCACUGCAUCCACUUAAUUCCACCACUACCAUAUCUUUUACUGCCCCACCAAAAAGAAUUCAGCAUCCUUUCAAGUUCCCGGCAUAGGUCGAGAGGGAGGAGGUAAACUUGUAUAGCAUAAUUAGGUAUGGCAUGUGCCACAGUUUUAAUUAAGAUUUCCUUUCCAGCUCUAGAGAGGAGUUUCUGAUGCCACCCUUGAAUUCUCUGCCAAACUUUAUCCUUUAUAUAUCGGAAAAUGUCUAUCUUCUUGCGCCUAACAUAAGAUGGUAAUCCAAGAUAGGUACCAUGGUCUGUAGUAGCUACAACUCCAAGCUGUCGACAUAUAUUAUGAACAGUAUCCUCCGCCACAUUCCUACUGAAAGAAAUUGAGGAUUUAUUGUAGUUCACUUGCUGCCCCGAAGCUGCUUCAUAAGUUGCCAAAACCUUUUUUACCUGAUGAGCCUCCUGGACAGUAGCUUUAAAGAAAAGAAAACAGUCAUCAGCAAAAAAGAGGUGAGAAACCAAAGGAGCACCUCUAGCAACUCGAGCCCCAUGGAUCAUCCCAGCUCUCUCAUAGUGAUUUAUCAGUAAACUCAGCCCCUCUGCACAGAUGAUAAACAGAUAUGGCGAUAGCGGAUCUCCUUGUCUAAGACCUCGACUUGGCACGAUAGGGCCUAGCUCCAACUCUUCCCGGGUAAUCUUAUAGGUAACUGUAGUGACACAGAGCAUAAUAAGAUUCACCCAAACAACAUCAAAGCCCAACUUCAGUAAAAUCGAUUUAAGAAACCCCCACUCAAUCCGAUCAUAAGCCUUGGACAUGUCAAUCUUUAAUGCAGCAAUCCCCUCUUUUCCUUGACGUUUCCGUUUGAGAAAUUGCAUUAUCUCAGCCGAGAUUAAAACAUUAUCAGCAAUAGCUCUGCCUGGAACAAAAGCACUCUGAGAAUCGAAAAUUAUCGAUCCUAAAACCAUCUUCAUACGGUUAGCAAGCAUCUUGGCUACAAUUUUAUAGAGGACAUUGCAUAAGGAAAUUGGUCGAACAUCAGUUAAAAAUUCUAUCUGUUUCUUCUUAGGAAUAAGGACAAUGGAAGUCUCAUUAAGACCCUCAGGGAAAGAACAAUCCCGAAUGAACCUAAGACACGCCUCAGUAAUAUCAGUACCUACAACAUUCCAAAACUUUUGGUAAAAUGCUGGGUUCAUUCCAUCAGGACCAGGGGAUUUAUCAGGGUGCAUAUUAAACACGGCAGAUUGAACAUCUUCAGCAGUAAAAGGUUCCAAAAGAGAUUGAUUUUGUGCAUCAGUAAUUUUAGAUUCCACACAAUUAAGCACAUCAUCAUAGGAACAAAUCCCAGCAGUAAAGAAAGUUGUGAAAUACUCACAAAUUAAAUUAUUUACAUCCGCAGGAUUAGUACACCAUUGCCCCUCUUGAUUGCGAAGCUUGAUUAAGGUAUUCUUACGCUUCCUUGACGAGGCCAUGGCAUGGAAAUACUUUGAGUUUGAAUCCCCAUCCCGAAGCCAAAACGUCUUCGAACGCUGCUUCCAAUAAACUUCGUGGCUAUGCAAGAGCUCAUUGUAUCUAUCUCGAGCUUCAAUAAAAUCAGCCAAGCUAACUGCAUCACGCUUGCCCCUAAGCUGAUGCAUUUUAUCCUUACACUCCUUAAUUUGAGCUUUGAAAUCCCGAGUACGAUGAUAGCCCCACCGAACUAAAUCUAAGCUGCAAGCCGAGAUUUUACUGAGAAUAGGAAGCCCACCCGCCAUAGACCAACUCUUCUCAACAAUAUUAGCACAAUCCGGUUCUCUCAGCCAUGAGUUCUCAAAACGAAAGUUCAUAGACCGUCGUCUCAAAACCACAGGAGACACAUCCAAAAAGAUAGGGAGGUGAUCUGAACUCGAAGCUUCAAGACACAGAACUUUCGCUAGCGGGAAAAGAUUCACCCAAGCGGAAUUUGCAAGGGCUCGAUCUAAUCGUUCUUCAACCCAAGCUUCAGUGCCCCGUGACCUUUCCCACGUGAACUGGUAACCAUCCAUACCCAAAUCAAUGAGGCCCGAAUCAGAAAGUGCAGCCCUGAAACCAUUUAUCUUCCACUGCGGGUGAGCAUGAGAGCCGCGCUUCUCUGAGAAAUUGAGAAGGUUGUUGAAGUCCCCUAGACAGACCCAUGGUAACGACGAAGUAGAAGCUAAAUACCGGAGAAGAUUCCAAGAAUCAUGUCUGUGAAAUGACUCGGGAAACCCGUAGAAACCAGUAAGUCUCCAGUUGCCCCUUUCACUAUCCUCAACUGCAAAGUCUAUAAAAUUACGCCCAAACUUCAAUAAAUUAACUUUAAAACUAUUUUUCCAAAACAUAGCAAGCCCACCACUACGGCCCUUUCUAUCCACCACAAACAGACCCUCAAAACCUAAUCUAAUUUUGAUGCUUUCUAACUUAUCUCUGUAAUACAAUGUCUCAAUCAAGAAAAUAAAAUCCGGUCUUUUAUUCUGGACCAACUCAACAAGAGUUUGAACUGACCGUGGUUGGCCCAACCCACGGCAGUUCCAACUUAAACAACUCAUUGGUGUCAGUGGGCCUGGAAUACAGGGCCCACCGCUGGUCCAUUUUUUGAGUACUCACUCAUCUCCAUUAUCUCAGUAUCAGCAUGCUCUUUUAAAUUCAAGUUGAUAGGAGGCCCACCUCCUGAUCUUCUCUGUUUUGCAUCAACUAAAAUUAAUGCAGAAUUAUACUCCACAUCAGUUUCCUUCACAAGCAUCGAAUGAUUAGCUAUUAGUUCCUCGUCAAUUCCAUUUACACACAUUGACUUACAGCCUGUUACAAGAAUAUUAGAAUUCAUUGUGACUUGAACACUUUCCUUCCCAAGGUCUCCGUGACCAGCUGUCCCAUGAUUCACGCCAUUUUCCAAGUCAACCGCCAUUUCAACAGCGGAAGUUGUGGGAUUACCAAAUUUCACAUCAUUUAUCUCCAACACUCCCGAUCUGAGCCAACGGUCACCGGUGUUCAUCGAGCUUCUCCGAUUGGGAGCCUUCAUCCAAGGGCCAUAAGGUUUAAUAACAGGGGUAGCAUCAGUUUCAUAUAUUGAGGGGCAAUUUUUAUCAAUGUGUCCUAAAAUGCCACAGAUAAAACAAAAAUUGUGCAGUCGCUCAUACUUGAAGUCUACCCAUAACCACUCCCCACCCGCUCUUUUGAGGCGCAUUCGUCGUUUAAGGGGUUUCCUAACAUCAAUCGAAACCCUCAGCCUCAUGUAAUUACGCCAUACUCCUGUAAGAUUAUGUUCAUCAGAUGCCAAAAAUUCACCAAUAAAGUUGCUAAUACUCUGUAAUAUUUUCUCGGACUGAAAUCCAAGAGGCAGAUUAUACACUUGAACCCAUAAAUAUGUGUGGAAAAGAGGGAUAUUCUGCGGUUGUUCGUCUACCCCAAGUCUCCGAAUUAUAAGAAUAUGUUGAUCAAAGGUCUAGGGACCAGAUUCAAGAACCCUCCUCACAUCAAUUUCAUGAAAGAACUGGAAGAGAAAAAGCGUGGGAGAUAAAUCCUUAACACAAACACCACGCCCAGGACGCCAUAACGAAGCCAUAGUAUUUUUCAUGGCAAUAAAGUUCACUACUUUGUCCGUGAGAAAUCUUCCCACAAGGCAGAAUUUGGAAUCAAGACGGAUAUCCCCAGGAUCAUCGAUCACUUCUCCAGCCACAAUCAAACCACCCUCCUCCUCCUCCUCAUCAAGUUGCAGGCGCGCACAGAUGUUGCUCAUCUCAGAUUCCGGAGUAUUACUUGUGUUGGCCAUGGAUUAAAGAAAGAAAAGGAUUGAAUCCGUAGACAGUAGAGAAAUAAAAAAAGGAGACCAGAAUUUACUUGUCAAAAGACAAGACACACACACUUGUCAAAAGACAAGACCACUCAAUAUAGUUCUUAAUUAAGCUAGAAAAGAAAUUGUACUAAUUCCUUCAUCAUAAAAUUGAACUAAAACAAAGUUGAACAAAGUUGGGCAUUGAGAGUGGCAAUUAUUUGUGGUGUGUCAGUACAUAUUUGAUGAUUAUUGAUAAAAUUUGAUAAUAAACUAAUGCUAGUUAAAUGUACAUGUAUUUGUCUUCUUAAGGAGAUCCCACAAUAGUUAGUGGAGUUAAUUAAAAAUGUAAACUCACAAAUCCUAAAUAUACUCUGUGACUCUUUCUUGCUUUAGUCUAGCUUAUUGUUAAGUUGUAAAGUGGGAAAAAUAAUCAACAAAAUUAGAAGAGAUAAAUGACAGAAGAACAAAAAGCAAAUGAGGAUAAAGUUGCAACAUUAUUUAGAAAACAGAAGAACAAAAAAAAUGUGUGUUUAUAAACAGUCAGAUAUCCUGAGAAUCUUGUUAGUUGUCACCAUAAGUUUCAAAGAUUGAAACAUACACUAAAGAGGAAAAUUGAGAGAGAACGAAGUCUUCUCACCAAUCCCAAAAUACCAUUAUUUGUAAAAUAACUAUAAUACCCAUUCCAGUAUGAUUUAUGAAGAAUACAUGCAUGCACACACUUGUUCAAAAAAUACCACUGAAUAGGGUGUUUCAAAAUAACUCAAUUAUCACAAGCUGAACGAAUUUUAGAUAGAUAGAUAAAGAGAUAGAGAGAGUAGUUUUCUGGUCCAACUGUUUUAAAAUUUUUCAUAUAUAUAUAUAUAUUCAAUACAAUUGUAAAACAAUAAAUUCGUUAUGUUAGUGUUCGGUUUGCAAAAUUUUUUCUAUUUUUCUAUUUUUCAUUAAUUAGUUUUCAGCACCGAUAAUGGUUACCUAAUGUUGAAAACUAGGGAACUGAUGUUCCGGUUGGAUUUUGCUGAUAGCAUCUAUAAAUAGUCAUCCUUAACCUCCUCAUAAGUACAACCUGGAGCUUAUGUUGGUGACUUAGUUUACAAGUACAACCUCAGGUUUAUGUAAACGACCUGAUUUUUUAAUACAACUUCAAGCCUAUAUGAGCGAUCCAAAAAUUCACCAGUUCGAUAUGGAAGUAAGAUAGUCCAACUUCGAAAUUCAUUUGUCCGACCUGAGAAUUACUUGACAUGCAAAACUACUAGUCAAGAUAACGUGGCCUAAUUUUUAGGGAAGUUGUAUGCCACGAUUUCUUAAACCACCUCCAAUUGAUAACCACUUACAACUGCUAAAGAAAGUGGACUGAAGUUAAGGAGGUAACUAUAUUGUCCACAACCAAGAGCUUAUUUAAAGCUGAAUAGGGCAUCAGAGGAAGGGGUUAGCAAAAUCAACCAAAAUUCUACAAGUCACCUAUCUAAAAGCCUCAUCAUUUCCUACAAGAUUUUCAACGCCUCUACCGGAAAAAUUCCUUGAUUUUAACAUAUUUUCAAUUCUUCUUUCUCGUUUUUCUUUCCUUAUACACAAUUUCUGACUUAAGCAUCAGAUGGUUUACGUCGGAACUCUACCGGCGUAACCUAACCAUGUUUUCUGAUUGUCAUGUAUAAAAAGUUGUAAUCAAAUUGAUGUUUGAGCUUGGAUUCGUGCUGUUAUUCCCCCAAAGAAAACAAAGUCAACCCUUGAAGUCGUUUUUCGGCGUCAAAAGUUAGUCUAAUAAAUACGAAGGCCUUUCACAAUUGAUUUACCCACAAAAAAAAAACCUUCAAAUCAAUUCAACGUUGUGCAACUUUUCUAUUCUUUAGAAGAAAACAAAAGAUGAAAUGUCUAAAGUAUAAAUUACUUUUUUCACAUUAAAAAAUAAUGCUGCUUUUGCUUUUUUUUUCUUAAGACCUCCUUUGGGACCUCCUCUUGGCAUGUACUCCUCCGAAGCCCAGAUUCGUUAAACCCUCUUUAAUAUUCAAAGAAUGUCCACUCCACUCACAUUUCAUGAGAGAGAAACUAUCUCCACUCAAUUAUUUGAUAAUUGAAGGAGGACUGAAACUAACCCUCAUAAUACUUUUAUGGAGGAUCGAAUCCUUACUCUCAACAUUGUAAGUACAAGAGCUCUCCUACUGGGGCAAAGGCCCAUUGGUGAAAGAAAUAUUGCUUUACAUAAACAAAGGUGAGUCUUAUAAAGAAAUGGAAACUAUUAAAAAAUAACAAGGGAACAUAAAUUUGUUAUUUUUUCCAAAGGAAAUCGACAAAAAAUUGGGUUACAAAAUUGUAUUUUAGUUUUUUUUUUUUUUUGCCUUUGUCAUAAUAUUGGAACCCAAACUUUUGUUGAAAUCUCGUUGUUGCUUUUAAAAUUACAUAUAGUAACCAAUUAAUCCUAAUGGCAAACGGAAAUAAAAAAUACUUUAUAUGGAUUCUACUGAGCGAAAUUAGCCAUCAAAAAUAGAUUAAUUAAUAUGGAUAAAAAAUAAUAUGGACACAUGAUUAAUGAAUGAUAGCCAAAAAUACAAGAUCAAAUUCAACUAACUAAUGUUCGUGAAAAAUACAUUAAUUUUGAGAGAUAAAACAUAGUUGAACAAAAUAUUGUGGUCAUAAAAAAUAUUUAUUUUAAUUUAUUAUACAACAAAAAAUAUUGCCAUUUAUUAGUCGAUAUAAGUUAUUUUUAAUUGAAGUUAACCGUUAUGAAUGACAUAUUGACAGUCAUAGAAAUAGUAUUUCGGAUAACAUAUGUUAAUUUGUUGAAAAGUUAAUGCUUUCAAUGGAGAUUGUUGAUGCCGAAAUCCGGAUGAGUUGAUCGAAUCUCAGAUCCCUGCAUCAGCAUUAAAUUUGUUUGGUGGGAAGCCGCUGAUUAGUUAGCACCAUGAGCAGAUGUUCUAUGAGCAUAUGUUCCAUGAGCAGACAAUCCAUGAGCAGACGAUUCAUGAGCAAAGAACUCAUGAGCAGACAAUCCAUGACAGACAACCCAUGAGCAGACAAUCCAUGAGCAGACAACCCAUGACCAGACAACCCAUGACCAGACAAUCCAUGAGCAGACAACCCAUGAGCAGACGAUCCAUGAGCAGAUAACCUGAGUCUGUGAACACAACCAACAGUCAGGAGGUGCCGGAAGUUUUUCCGGCGAGAAACCUCCAACACUCAAGUCAACGAUUUGGGUCUUACUUGGAAAAACCCAUACCACAAUUCAUGUGGCUUAAUUAUGAUUGCUUUAAACAAAAAAGCUUUUAAAUAAAUUUAAAGGAAAAUAUUUAAGAAUAAUUAAUCUUAAAGAAAUCAUAAGCGAAAGAGAAAUUUCCCAGUGGGAGGGAGAGAAAAAGGUCCAAUGGGUUCAAUUGCCCAGAGAGAGAGAGAGAGCUCGAAGAAUCCCCCUUUUCCUUCCCCUUCCUAGGGUUUUUAUAGGAAACUAUAGCGGUUUUUAUCCUCUCCCUUAGAAUUAUCAAGAAAACUACUAAUUUUCAGCCCACUAAGAAUAUGGUCCCUAAUAUUUCGGAGAAAAUAUUUUGACUGAAUCGUGCUUCCUGGUAACUUCCUGGUCGAGGUGACUAAUAACAUCCAGGUCGAGGAAAUGUGAUCGAGGUCACCACAUAUUAUUCUGGUUGAGGUGACCAAUAACAUCCUGGUCGAGGUGAUGUGCUCGAGGUCACCACAUAUUAUUCUGGUCGAGGUAAGCAAUAAUAUCAUGGUCAAGGUGAUGUGCUCGAGGUCACUACAUAUUAUUCUGGUCGAGGUAACCAAUAACAUCUUGGUCGAGGUGAUGUGCUCGAGGUCACCACAUAUUAUUGUGGUCAAGGUAACCAAUAAUAUCCUGGUCGAGGUGAUGUGCUCGAGGUCACCAAACAACAUUUUGGUCGAGGUGAUCUGCUCAACCAUUUGCUCACUUUUACUUUGAGGAGAGUACGAUAAUGUAUGAACAAACACAUUUAUCUUGGUCACCCUAUUUCAUUCCCUAAACAGAGAUAAGCAAUUGAAAAUAAUCUACUUUAUAGUUGAAAUUAAUUUUAUUAAUUGCCACUCGAAAAAAUAAAAAUGAAUCAAUGUAUCAAUGAACAAAUAUUCUUUUUUAAAUAAUUUCAACUAAUACAUGUAAUCCUCAAAAAAAAAAAAAAUUAAACACACCAAAAGCUACAUGACUAGUAUAAAGACAUCAAGGUGAUGCUAACGGUUAAAAUCAAUGAGGAUUGAGCACGUGAAUCUCCGUCAAAGUGAAUAUCAUAGAUUUUCGUCAUUUAUCUUGAGUCUUGAUUCUUGCAUCCAAAGAUAAAAAAAUAUAGGAUACAACUAAAAUUAGAAUAUAUAGAAAAACAUAAAUAUUGAAUAGGAAAAUGAAUGUAUACUCAUUAGGAAGAUGAUUCUCACGAAGUAGCUCAACUUUGUUAUUCAUUUAGGAACCGUAGAUGAGAAUAACGAAGCAGAUGGAUCCCUUUUACAGAGCAAAGAUAAUUUGGAGAUUGAUAAUUUGGAUGUUUUUGUACACAAUGCACAAUUAUUUGCAGAUAAUGAGGAUGGCAAUAACUACUUCACCGACGGCAAAAACUAUAAGCAUGGCUGCAAUUACAACAACAAAUUCACAAAAAGACAAAUGAUCCAAAUAAUUCUCAUGCAAGAAAAGAACAAGAAGAAGAUGACAUUUAAAAAAAAAAAAUCAGCUCAUCUAUGGUAGAUAGAUGAGGAGGUUAUGAAUUUGUUAUGUAAAAAAGAAUAAGUAGAGAAAAUAUGAACAACGACUGAAGAAAAGAAAAAGGAAAAGGAAAAAAAAUAAAGAUUAUAGAAAAAAGAGUUAACAGCUGUUUGUUUGUUUAGUAUGUUUUAGAAUUUUACCUAGCCCAAAACAGUGAGCUUUUGUGUUUAUCAAGGAAAAUUAAGAAUAUAUCUAAUCAUGUCCAUUGAAUUAUGUAAUUGUCAUGUGUUAAAAUUUCCUAUGAAUAUUAGGAAAGUUUAGAUUAGGAGAGGAUUCAAAUUCUUUGUGGAAUUAUGCCCAAGGUAAUAUUUGUUUUUUUGUCUGAAAUCUGAAUGGGUCUAAAUUUUUCUCGAGUAUGUUUAUUUAUUUAGGUAAUGUUUGUUUUUUUGUAUGAAAUCUGAAUGGAUCUACAUUUUUCUAAAAUUUAAAUAAGUUUAAAUACGAGUAUCUAAAUAACAUUUUUUUCUUUUUAAAUAUCUUAACAUAAGUAGUAUUUUAUUUAUUUUAAUAAAUGAAAAGCAUCUAAAUAUAGUUAUUUGACAUUUAUGUCCUUAUAAAUCAAAGUAAAAAAAAAAAGAUUAGGUUUUAUAGUUUAGGAAAUAAAUAUAUUUUAUAGAGACAUUUUUGGAAUAUAAUAUUUACUUUUUAUUCAAACAUUUUUCCUUUUAGAUAAAAGUUACAAAAGUUAAAUAUAUAAAAAUCAGAUAGAAGUUACAAAAAGUAAACAAACAAAUUUUAAAAAGGUUUGAAAUUAAUAAAAAAAUUUAUUUCAAAUAUUUAACAAACAAACUCCUAGUUUUAAAAGUUUAGCUAGCACAAAACGAUGAGUUUUUGUUUAUAUUAAAGCUACUUAAUAGUAAAUCUAAUAAAGAGAUUUCCAGUUUUCCCUUACUCAUGUCAACAUACACUUGUUGCCUUUAUUAUCUUUAUAAUAUCCAUAAACUCCUUUGGCAUCAAAAUUUUAAAGAAAAAGAGGGAUAAAUGGGAUAUUUUUUUAAUAAUUUAUCUUGGGAGUAUAAAAUAUAUACUCAAUAAAAGGAAAAUAGUUAAAACUAACAAAAAGUAUAAAUUAUUUUAUUAUUAAGUUUUUAUUCACACCAAAAUAUGUAAUUCUCAUUUUUAAUACUUAAAAUUUUUUUAAUUUUCAUUUAUAUGAUUUAUUUAAUUUAAAUAAAAUAAAUAAAAAAUUAUUUAAAAAUAAGAGUAAUAUUACAAAAUUAUGCUGCCGUGAAGUCUAUUGGUUAUUAUGAAAACAGUAAAGAGGUGAGUGGUAUAUAUGAUUUUAGUAAGAGGACAUUGGCAAUCUCCCAAUCUAAUCCUAUUAGUUGAAUUACUUAAUUUUCAUUUGUUAAAAUCUGCUACAAACCUUAUGAAAGAUUAGACUAGGAGAGGAUUCAAAUCCUUCCCGAAAAUAAGAGCAACAACUUUUGACUAAUUCAAAUCUAACCAACAAUAUAAAAUAAAGUAAAUCAUUUUCUUAGUUAAAAGUUAGGGUAAAGCCAUAAUCAAAUCAUAUUGAAAGCAAUUAGUUCAUGAUUUAGUGAACCAAAUACGAACCAAACACUAGACCUGAACUGUAACAAACCAAAUUAAUUCAAUUUAGUUCUAUGGUUUGAUUUUGUUUUGUUUAGUUCGAGUAGUCUUACCCUGUAUAUUCAAAUUUAAAAAAAAUAAAUAAGAUACUAUUGGUACAAUAAUAAUCUUGAGUCUAUAAACUUACAAAUAAUAAAUACCAUAAUAGAGUCAAAUAAAUGAACAUAAUAAAGUCUAACAAGGAGCAAACUUACAUAGUCUAGAAAUUCAAUAUAAAUUACAAAUCCACAACAAUAAAUAAAAAAAGAAGGCAACAACACAAAAUCAUAUAUAAAAGAAACUUCAAAAUUCCAUUACCAAUUUGUCAUCAACAUUCAUCACUUCUUGAUUUUUCAACAUAUCUUUUGACAAUAUUAAAACUCGAUACCAAGUUAUCAGCGCAUAUCCAUAUCUACAAUACCCACAUUAACUGUCAAAGUGAGCCAAGCACCAACAAUUAAACAAAUUAAAAUGAAGUGCAAAUCGUCACAAUGAUAAUCACUUAUAUUAACUAACAUAAAAUCUAUUGUAAUUUUUCUUUUUGAACUUUUUUUUUUACUGGUUCAGUUUUAAACUAAUUUGUUUAAAGAUUUAUGAAUCAUUUAGUUUUUACUAUCCAAACCGAACCGAACUGAACUAUCAUAAUACAAUUUGAUUCCAACAGAAUCGAACCAAAUGUCCUAUUAAAAAUUAUGAAAAUUAAAAUAAAACUUGCUUUAUUUUUAUUCUUAAAUUCUGUACAUUAAAUAUGCCUCAUUCCUCCAUCAAAUCAAGUACUAUAUGUUUGUAUCAAAGAAUCUAUUUUAAUUUACGAAAGGAUCUAAUAAAUAUAAAAUAAUAAUUUAACUUUUUAUUACAUUAUUUCUAUUAAUUAUUUCACUACAGGAAAAUGCCAGUUACACAAUAAACUAAAAAGUGGGGAGGCUUUACUGUAAUUAAGGGGAAAUACCAGAUAUCGCCACCCUAUAAUUAAAAAAAAGAGAGAGAGAGAGAAUUUCACUUGCCAAAACCAAAGAGUGUAAGAAAAUUCGAAAUCUCUCAGUUUUGAUUUAGAAAGAAGAGAGUAAUAUGUGCUGAGUUUUGAAAAAGGGUAAUGUUAGGAAUCUUAUCAUUUGAGUCUUAAAUAAUGUGGUAUUUAAUGUUUGAAAAAAGUGAGUUUUGAUUUACCAAAACAUGAGUAGUU
rnacentral:lncRNA from 1 species